GAGAAUUUGAGAAGCUUACCCCAGGGUCUGCACACGCUGUCUCAGCUCACUUCCUUGGUGUUGUCUGGUUGUCCUGCUUUGGAGGUAGAGUGCUUCCCUCCUCUUCCUCCCAGUAUCUUGGAAUUUUUUCUGUACAGUUGUCCGAAGAUAAAAUCGUUACCUAAUCAAUUGUAUCGGCUCACAUGUCUCCGAAAGCUGUCAAUUUGGAGGUGUGAGAGAUUCACGCGCUUUCCCGACGGAGGAUUGCCGCCCCAGCUAUGGGAACUUGAGGUGACUCAAUGUGAGAAUAUGAAGCAACCGGUGAGGGAGUGGCUCACCCCUCUCACCUCCCUUGGAAGGCUAAAUAUCGACGGUAGUGCAGGAGGAGUGGGAGAGGAGGAGGAUCUUGUGCUUCCGCUCCCUUCCUCUCUGCUCCAUCUCUCUAUCCAUGAUAUGGGGAAAGUGGAAAGACUGUCCAGCAGUCUCCCUCCCUCUCUACAGAACUUAUGGAUCCAGUGUUGCCUGAAGCUGAGGGAGUUGCCCCAGGAUAGCCUCCCUCCCUCCCUCGAAGAACUCCUUUUAUACAAUUGCCCAAUUCUAGAGAAGCGAUGCAAGAAAGGGACCGGCUGCUAUUGGCCCCUCAUUUGCGAAAUCCCACAAAUUACAUUAGGCAUGUAUAUAGGCUGAGGCCUGGCUCUUUCAUCAUCUGUGUCCUUCCCCUGUUGUUGUGUGCACCUCCAUCGCCACCGCUGCUUCGGCUCUCCACUCCGUCGUCGUCCUCACCUCCAUCUCCAUCUCAUGAAUAUAUUCCAAUUAAAACAGGUAAUCAAUCUUUCCGAUCACUACUCUUCAAUACUCGUAGUCACUUCUCUUCUCAGAUUUGGCAUCACUUCUCCCCUCUCCUUUUUUAACUGCUUCUUCCCAUGUUUUCAUCGCUCCAGCCAAAAUUUAGAUUUCUCAGCUGCUUUUUUUUGUUUUGUUUUUUUUUUGGCAUUCUGAGCAGUUCUCCGCACUCCUCCGAUUCUUUCGUUCUUGCUGUGCUCCGCCUCAUUCUCCAAGAUUCUCUCAAUCUUGCUCGCCUUUCAAGUUACAUUGGAAUUCCCAUCAGUGAAGUUUGCCGGUACCAUGCCUAGAAGAAGAUGUUGCUGAAGGUGGGGACCCUGAGAUGUGAGAUUGCUUCUCAUUGUAGAGACGAAGAGGGGAGAUGCCAUCUGCAGGCUCAGCUGUCAUUAGCAUCUUUGACCUUUUUGUGGGAACUCUUUCCCAUGAUGGUUCUCAAAUUACUCGCUGGGGAUAGAGGUAUGUAUAUAUGUUCUCUUUCCCUGUUUAUUAAUUAUCUGUUCUCCCCUGAUAUUCAAUCCAUUGGACAUAAUUUAUAUGAUAAAUAAAUAGCAAAAGACAAGUUUUGAAAAUGUUUGAAAGUUGCGUCGCAUCGAAAAAGCGUAGCUCAUAACUUCAUAUGGAUAGAGCAAGUUCAUGUCAUGUUAAUGGCAGUUAGGUGCUUUAAAUCCUCUUUCCUGCUUUAGUCUGGAAACUCCAUUUGAACACAUUUACAAAGUUGUGGAAUGUGCCUGAAUACUCUGAUUUCGAUAAGUGAAAAUUACUUUUGCAACAUUCACCAUAAGUGGAAGGAAAUCGAUAUUGACUCUCUGUCUGCAUUUACCGAUGCAAAGUACUUAUUCCGACACAAGCAAUCUUCUCAUUUCUGAGCAUACUGCGGCUCACGAUGGAAUCUAUGGGGCAAACGAAUUUUAUUGCAGCUCAACCCUCUGUUCCAUCAUUCUACUCACCAUCCAAGAUUAAGGAAUGGUUUAGUUGGUUUGAGUAUAGACACAAAUGAAGGCAUUUUGUGGACUGGGUAGCACUCAAUGAAAUCUUUCCCCAUUGUUCAUUUUGUAAUUAUUGCUAUUCUGCUUCAUGGAAUCAAAGAAGUGAGUAAAUUUGCUAUUUCUUUUGACUGGCUGUUUAAAAGCUGCUUAAAAGGUGGGUAAUAAUCAUGGGUUAUAAUCAGAAUCUAAAAAGAAUUUCUUCCGAAUGAUUUAGCAUAUUGUCGUCAUAUCCAACAAAUUAUCCAUGUUCUACUUGUUCAUUUCUAGCAUUCUAUCAAAACACACGUCAAUGAUUAAAAAUUUCUCGAAUGUUAUGUUGUUUGUUCUCAUUUCCCUGGUUAUCUCAUUGACGUGAUUACGUCCACCUUCUGUAGUGUGUGCGUAAGGGAUCAGUUCCAUGCAAGGGGAAUGUUAAGUUAUACUUUUUAUAUGCAUUGCUUGACAAGAUUUCUAACAGCUUAAGCUUUUACAAAAAUUUUUAGUCUAACAUGCAGCAAUCAAAUCAAAUGACAUGACCAAUCAGCAAACCCUAUGUUCUUGUUUGGUUUUUUCUUCUAGUAACUGUGGGAGACUUUCAGAUAGGGAUUAUAAGCUUCUCAAAAAAUCAAUGAAUUACAACAAGAUUUAAAGCUUGGACAGUUAAAAGCCCCUCAUAUGCCAGCGAACUUUAGCUUAUUAAAUCUGUUAUUCAUAGUGUGGUUAAGUUUUAGCGUCAACUCCUUUUGUUGCCCAAGAAAGAUUUUAAAAUGGUUGGCAAAAGUGUAGAGCUUUUCUUUGGAAGGGAGAUUCUUAUACUAAAGAGGGAGCAAAAGUUAGAUGGGACACCGUCUGUCGUCCUAAGAAGUCUCAAGGCCUUGGCAUUCAAAGACUUGGCAUUCAAAGACUGGAUUUGUGAAAUCUUGCUUGUAUUUUAAAGUGUCUGUGGAGUUUUUUGUUGAAGUGAAGUCUCUAUGUUUUUCCUGGCUCUAUAGCUAUCAUCUUGACAGUAGACCACAUGCUACUUAUGCUUUGAAGAAGUUAUUAAGAGUUGAGAAUAUUUUGAAACCCCACAUUAGAUAUAUAGUUGGAAAUGGAGAUAAUAUUUCUCUUAAUUUGAUUUGUGACACCGUACCGGGAUCUUGCCCUCAAGGAGAAUAAUUUAUGAAUCCUCUCUUCCUUCGCAUGCCAAAGUAUCUGCCGUAAUUUAUAACUCUCAUUGGAAACAUUAUGUUACUUAAAAAGGGUGUUUUUAAUUUUUGCAGAUAGCAAUUGGGCAAAACAAGGGGCUGUGAAAAAUGCCCCUUCCAUCAUCAUCUCCUUCUCCUUUGUUGUCUGCACCUUAAUCACCUAUGCUUCAUCUCUCCGCUCCCUUGUCCUCAAUUUCAUCACUGUCUUCAUCUCAUGAAGAUGUCAUUAAAAUCAGGUAUCAAUCUUGCCAUUUACUACUACUCUCUACUCUUCUACUCGUGGUCACUUUUCUUCUCAGAUUUGGCAUCGGUUCCCCUAUCAAUUGAAAUGCUUCGCAUAAUUUCUUUGAUCCAGCAAAAAUGAAAUAAAAAUCUGGGAUGUUAUUAACAGACUGUUGCAAUUAUAUUUGGAUUCUCAGCUUAUUUCUGCAUUCUAUCAGUUUUCUGCACUCAUCCAAUUCUUUUGUCAUCACUGUGCUCUGUCUCAUUCUCCAAGAUUCCCUAAAUCUUGCUUGCCUUUCAGAUUACAUUGGAAUUCCAUUUGUGAAUUGUGUUGGUAAGACCCAGCGACCUAUAGAAAGGUCUAUAUGCCCUUCCUUCACCAUCGCCUCACUGGUAUUAAGUCUAGGAGGAGAAGAUGCUGAAGGGGACCCUGGAUGUGAGAUUGCUCCUCAUUGUAGAGACAAAGGGACAUGCCACUGUGGGCUCUAUUCUUAAGAUCUGACUUUUGUGGAAACUUUUCCAUGAUUAGUUGGUUCUCAAAUUACUCACGAAGAUAGGUAUGUAUACAUGUUUCCUUUCCCCAUUCAGUAAGUGUCUGUUUUGCCCUGACGUUAGAUGAAUCUAAAGUCUAGACAUAAUUUAUAUGAUAAGUUAAUAGCAAAGACAAAUUUGAAAAUGUUUGAAAAUUGCAUCUCCUUGAAAAAGUGUAGCUCAGAACUUCGGAUGGAUAGAGCAAGUUCAUGUCAUGUUAGGGUGCGUUUGUUUGCGUUUCUGUUUAAAAAUUGUUCCAGGGAACAGAAAUAGAAAAAAGUGUUUCUGUUCCUGGGAACAAUUUCUGAACAAAAAAAUGCGUUUGGUAAACUUGUUCCGGGAACAAAAAAUAAAUAGAAACACGUUUGGUAAAUUUGUAUAAUUUUUUUAUUUCUUUUAUUUUUUCUAUUUUUUUCUUAUUUUUCCUUUUUUCUUUUUUCUUCUUUUGGCCGGUCGCCGGCCUUGGCCGAGGCCGGCGACCGGUGAAAGAAAAAAGAAAGAAAAAGAAGAAAAUUUUCAAAAGUGUUUCUGAUUUGUGUUUCAGAAACAAGAAACACAAAAUUUGUGUUUCUUGUUUCUGUUUCUUUUUUGUUCCUGGGAACAAAAGAACAAAAAAACAGAAAACAGUGUUUAAAAACAAAAAAAAAGAAAUACAAACAGAGCGCAGCCUUAAUGGCAGUUAAGAUGCUUUAUAUCCUCUUUCCUGUUUUAGUCUGGAAACUCCAUUUGAACACGUUUACUAAGUUGUGGAAUGUGUACCUGACUAAUUUCCUUAUAUCUCUGAUUCUGAUAUGCGAAAAUUACUUUUGCAGCAUUCACCAGAAGUGGAAGGAACUCAGUACUGGCACAAAGUACUUAUUCCCACACAUGCAAUCUUCUCGUUUCUGAGCUUCCCUCUGAUGCAGAUCGAGAUCUAUGGGGGAAACAGAUUUAUUGUACCAUUCCAGCAUUUUACUCACCAUCCAAGAUUAAGGAAUGGUUUAGUCCGUUUGAGUACAGACACAAAUGAAGGCAUUUGGCAUCCCAGAUGGCACUCAAUCAAAUUUUUUUCUUGUUCAUUUUGAUUACUAUUCAAAUUCUGCUUCGUGGAAUCAAAGAUGCAUAGACCUGAAGUCGCUGGUUGGCAAAGUUUAAAGGGUAGGUAGAUUUGUUUCUGCUAUUUCUUUUGUCAGGCUGUUUGAAAGACACUGGUAAUGAUCAUGGGGUAUAAUCAGAAUCGAGAAGGAAUCUUUUCUCAAGGAUUAGCAUACUGUCUGCAUUCUUACUUGUUUAGUUAAAUUUCCAACAGAUUGUCCACUUUCUAGUUGUUCAUUUCUAAUGUUGUACUGAAGCACAUGCAAUGGUCCAAAAUUUCUUGCCUAUUAUGUUGUUUGUUCUCCUGUUCCACGGUUAUCUUAUUGACAUAAUUACGACCACAUUUUGUCGUAUGUGUCUAAGGAAUAGGUUCUACCUAAGGGGGAGUGUCAAGUUAUGAAUUAUGUAUACAUUGGUUGGCAUGUUUCCUAACAAGCUUUUAGGAAAUGCAACAUGCAGCAAUCAAAUCCGACAGCCUGACCAAUCAGCCAACCCUAUGUUCUUGUUUGGUUAGUUCUUCUAGUGAUUUGGGAUUGUCUGGAGGACUUUCAGAACAGGAUUGUUGGCAUUGAUUGAAUUACAAUGGGAUUUAAAGCUUGGACAGCUAAAAGACUCUCAUAUGCCAGCUGACUUCAGCUCAUUAAAUCUAUUGUUCAUAAUCUGGUUAACAAGUAGUGUCAACUCUUUUUGUUGCCCAAGAAAGUUAUUAAAAAGAUUGAGCAAAAGUGUAGAGCUUUCCUUUGGAAGGGAGAUCCUGAUGCAAAAGAGGGAUCAAGAGUUAGAUGGGACCCUGUCUGCCUUCCUAAGUAGUUUGGAGGCCUUGGCAUUUGAAGACUGGCUUUGUUAAAUCUUGCUUAUGUUGAAGUGUCUGUGGAUUAUUUUGUUGAGGUGUGGGUCUCUAUUUUUGCCUAGCUCUGUAGCUACCAUUUUGACUGCAAAGCAGAUGCUACCUUGGAAGUUAUUAAAAGUCAGGAAUACAAUGUAACCCCGCACCAGAUAUAUGGUGGGUGAUAGAGAUAAUUUGCUAUGAUUUGUGGCACCAUACUGGAAUCUUGCCAGAAUCAUUCUCAAGGUGAAGAAUUUAUGACCCUUCUCUUCCUCUGCAGGCCAAAGUAUCUGCUGUAAUUCAUGGCUCUCAUUAAAAGUAUCUGCUAGGUCUGAAGAGUUGGUUUCCAUCCAAGGUGCAGUUUGUGGUGUGAAUUUUCCUAAUUCCUCAGCUGCAGAUGAAGUUGUAUGCAAAGCUUCUUCAAACGGUUGCUAUAACUCCUUUGUUGCUUGCAAAAUUGUCAAAAGCAGGAGUAAAAUGUUGACUGGCACAAACUUGUGGGUUCUCCCCUAAUGUGCCAAGAGCUGGCUUUUUAUCUUGGUUGGUAAUACGUGAUAAACUCCCCACUUUUAAGAGGAUUUACGGUUGGUGUGUUGGGAGUACUAGAUCUCUCUGAUUGUUCUGUAAUAUAAGCAUGGAAUCUUGCUCUCAUCUAUUUUUCGAGUGUAGUUUCUCUAAUCAAGUAUGGAGCAAGGUGCUGCAGCUUUGUUGGAUUCAUGAAACUCCAAGAGUUUGGGAUUACGAAUUUGGUUUAAUAUAACAAGCUGCUCAGGGAAAGAUUUUCAGAAGUGUCUAUUAGAGUUUAUAUGGAACCACUGUAUCUGUUAUAUCUUGAGUCCAUGAAUAGUUUGUAUCAGAUACAGGUAGUUCCUUUGGGUUGUUGAUGUAAUCAAAAUUAUCAAGCUUGGAAUCUAAGAUUGCGAAAACUAUCCAGCUAAAGGUUUGUUUUUCUACCCAAAAAAAUAAAAAGUAAGCUUUGUUUUAAGUUGUGCUUAUUGUUGUUUUCCGGUGUGUAUAGUUGCAUGUUUUUGCUCCAUGUCAUCUCUAUGCUUGUGAUGGCAGACGGAUGUCAACUUCAAUCACUUGUUUGGCGUCCAAUCUUCAUGAGUUCCAAUUUCUAUGUUACUGGCCUUCUCAUUUCUCCAUAUAGUUAUUAAGGAAGAAACCCAAUUAAUGAAAGGGAUCUCCUUUUCGGCUUCUUUUUUCCGUUCCAAGAGAGACUUUACAGCAUUUUAGUCUUUCUUUUUCUAUUUUCGAUUCAUAUUAAUUUCACUGGGUUGCAUCUGCUAGAAAUUCUACGUCCAAAUUGAUCUUCUGCUUGUAAUUCUUCGUCUUAAUUUCGUCUUCAUUUUAAUGAAGAGAUAAAUUUGGAAUCAUUGAUGGUGUUUGUGCUCGUGCUUACGUUUAUCCAACAGAAAGCAAGUUUGCCGAUGAAGGCCUUCCGAGAUCCAGCCCACGUCUUUGACAUGAAAAUCCAACUUAGGAAGUACUUUGCCCACUUGAAACUCGGGGCCUUUAAAUUGUCAAAAAACACUAAAAGAUAAUUAAAGUAGGAAAUAUGGUGAUGACAUGGUUAAAUUGGUAGUCUUACAGCGUAGAAUUGGGAAGAUUGUGCGUACUUGCUGUCAUCAUAUUUUCGAAGUCUAUAUAAUGACUUCUACUAGCAGCGUUCUUAGAUCAAUCCUAGUAAUAAAUACAACUCGUUAUUUAUGAAAGUGAUUUUUUUAGGUUCGUUUGGUUUUUUUUACUGCAAGUCUUUGUAUUAUAAGGUCUUGUUGCGAGAAAAGAAAGCGGAAUAGAAGGAAUGGGAGAAUUUUGCUAAUAAUUCAAUUAAUGUGCAGGAAAAAAGCCAAGAAUAAAAGAGAAAAAAAUAUAUAUCAUUGUGGGAGAAUUUGGGGUUAAAAAGUUGACAGUAAAGCGUUAACAAGUACUGGUCGCAUAAAGUUGCAACGAUGAGUCUCAACUUUUCGUAUAUUUACUCACAAAUUUCACGAUCACCCCUAAACACAUGGAUUACUAAUCACGGAAUUAUGAGGACUCAGAUAAGAAUGAAGGAUUUCAUCUCCCUCGAGAAGUACAGAAAAACCCUAUUAGAAGGUCCAUAUACCCUUCCUUUAUCAUCGCCUCACCGGUGUUAAGUCUAGGAGAAGAUGCUGAAGGGGGACCCUCGUUUUACUUAACGUGCAAUUUGCUAGAUGAAAUCUAAAGUCUGCACUUAAUAUAUAUAUGACAAAUAAAUAGCAAACACGAGUUUAUGUAACAUCCCAACAAAUGUGCUGGUACAGUGAUAAAGAGGCGAAGUGAUCGGGUUGACCCAAGAAAGUUGUAAGGCCACAUGAACAAAGUUCAAGUGAAAGCUGUGAGGCCACAUGUACAGUCACAUAUAUAUAUACAUAUUUGUUCUUUUCCCCACUUUUGAUAGUUUUAUUGUCCAUGAAGCGAACUUCAGAAAAUUCGAAAAACGUUGAAAAAUCCGUAAAACGUUUUCCUAGAAGUUAUAUUUCAUGAAUCGAAUGAAACUCAAUGCUCUAUUUGUUUUUAUGGAAAAUGAAUGAUUGAGAAAAUAUUUUUCUAUAAAUAACCGCUUAUAUUGUUUAAAAUAAUUAGUCAAUGAAAAAUGUUUUCAGUAUUGAUAAUAAUUUAUUUUUAAACAUUUCUGUGAAAGGUGAAUAUUAUUUUUAGGAAAAUAUUUUUCUAAUCAUUCUUUUCUCGCGAAACAAAUGGAGUCUUAAAAAAAUGACAAGUCCUAUUGGAAAGUCAGAGACAACUGUAUAUAACUCAAAGAAACUGGAAGGCCGAUGGUUCGUAACGAAAACUUCAAUAAAACAACAAAAUAAGGUGGUGGAUAUACAGGAUAUCUUCAUGGUUGGAAAGUAACGAUGGGCUAUCUACGAGGAUGCUCCGUUUGUCUAAAACAGAAUUGCGGGAAAAUGAAGGAUCAAUGAUUUGCAUCAACAACUUGCGAUCAGAAUUCACACUGAACUCAUUCCAACAACCUACAUCGCUAACCAUCCAGCAUAUCGAGUCACUUAUCGGAACAACACGCUUCUGAAGAAAAACAAAUCAUCUUCGAACUACAAAAGAAAAAACACGCCCGCAAAGGCCAAUUCAAUAAGACAACCACGUGAGAAAUUUAGCUCCAUUACAAGACAGUUCUUUUGUUUCUUGGGCCAAGUAAAAUGAAUGAACCAUCUAGUUUCCCAGUUACGGUGAUUGAGACGCUUAAUAUGGACAGAGUAUCAAAAGCACAAACGUCAAGAGAAGUUUCAAACCCCCGGGGCAUAUAUACGGAUUCAACGAGAUAGAGAGCCAGAAUUAGAAGAAAAUGAGGGCAUCCUAAUGAGAAAUCUAUCCAAACCUUCACGCAAACGACCCACUGAAUCCAGUAUCCACAACAGGAUCAAAGCAGCACAAUUCAACAUCAGACAGCGUCACCGUCUAAGUCAAACACAUGAAUGACGCCGACCUGAAUUGCGAUUCAACGUGAUGAGAAACCCUGACCUGAGACGGAUUGCGAGGAGCUGGAUUUCCAGAUUCUGGCUCCAUGAACGGAGUUGUCAAGCCGGAGAACUCUCUCUAUCUGGAGUGAAACGGUAUUACCAGUGCGUUUUAUGAACCCUCGAAUUAUUCUAAGCUUGGCCGACCAAAACAUUACGCAGAAAAAGAAGUCGAAUCAUCCAAGAAAAUCAUCUGAUGGUGGCAGGAAGAGGAAAGCGAUCGAGAAAUUCCUUUGGCAGCCGCGUCACCCUGGACGCGUGAAUCAGCACGACAAACAAGAUGGAAAACAACUCUGGAAAACAGAGAAAUUCCUUCGCAGCUGCGUCAUUCUUAUGUUAUUACACGGAUUAAGCAUGGCAUAUGUGUUGAAUUCUCACAUUCACUAUUUUAGCUCUCUCCAUUAUAUAUUUGUCUUCUGUGAAUGGAAUGGAGUACCGUUGGUAUAAUUGUCCACAUAAUCAGACGGAUUUGAGUUUUACUUUUAAUCCCUAUGAUAAGAAUUUAAAGUGUUAUUUCUUUUAAUUUUUAACUAACUGCACCCUCAAUUGGCUAGUUAGUAAAUGCCUGUGUACCCCCUUUGAAUGGCUGGAAUUAUCAUUUGACUUUACCGAAAAAAGGGCACAAGCUUAUGCAUUUACCCAAAAAAAAAAAAAACGAAAAGAGUAAAAUCUAAAUUUAAUAGGCGGUAUCGGCGGAAAACUUUUAACUCGAAGAGACUGGAAAUGUGAGGAAAAAAAUUGGAUGUCAAUGAGCUACGGUUAUAUUAAGUUAGAUUUGUAAUCUACAUCAUCUUACUCGAAAUUUUAAUCAUCACGUUCAAUUUACUGCAAUAUUAUGAUUACACUAAACAUGAGGCAUAAUUGAAAUUUAGAUGGAUUAUUACCUUUAAAAGUAGGAUCUCCCUUUCCUUGUAGUAAUAUGAAGAGACCGUGAUACUCAAUAUCUAAUGGAUAAAUUAUCUCCUUCUGAAUUUAUUGGCCCCUCUGUUCCCUUUUGCCAUCCAACUUCGGGCAAUUAAGCCUAAUCUAUCCUUGAGAGCAUUAGACCAUGAAAGAUCGAUGACUAUGUGGGUCUCUCAAUUGCUGGUUUUGCACAUAAUUGUUAUAUAAAACGGUACUAAUAAAGGCGAAAAUUGGCAAAAUUAUUGAGCCAGUAUGUAGAGACACAAAUUGGUGUCCGCCUGGUCAAGAUAAUGAGAGCAUUUGGGUUUUUCUAAAGACUGAAAGGAAAUAUAUAUACUCAAGAAACUGUCUCUUGAUAAUGUGAGACUAGUGUUGUCUUUAAUCUCGUUUUGUUUUAUUAAUGAAUUGUUUCAUCAUGAGCAUGGCAAGCAGAAUCACACUUUUGGCGAGAGCACGAAUAUGCUUGGAUGACUCAACUUUGUCUCGAGUUUCAUGCUCUCUAGCGAUAUCUCAAGUUCAUGUUUUCACAUGAGAGACGACUUAUAAAAUAAAAGGAAUAAAAAGAAAGUAAGUCUUAUCCUUUACAAAAGUUAGACAUGACAUAUGGACGUAAGACCAGACAUUUAGCAAUGAACCCAUCAUUGACCCAUCAAAGGACAUGUUUAAAUGUUACAAAAAAAAUGAGGUCUUCCGAUCGUAAUGAUAAUCUCAAGUUAAUACGUAUAAAUGUGAUGUUAAGUCCUAUUAUAUCUUGGUGCUUUUUGCCCCUCCAAGCGCCUUAUCAUAACCUGUGGAUCUCCAUUGGAGUAUUCGUUGGUUGGGUUAAACCUAAAUCCAACCAAGAGAUUCCGCAUAUAAUUGUUGGUGAUCAAUAUCUCACUCUCAAUUUUGAUAUCAUCCAAUAAAAGAAACAAGUGAAAGAAAAGUAUGGUGAAGUGAUUGGAUUAGACGUCCCACCGACAUUUGCAAAUUGAUCAUAAUAUAAUGAUUUUGAUCCGAACACUCUGCGAGAAGGGCGUUUAACCUGAAUGAUCCAACCAACAUUUGCAAAUUGAUCUGAGUACAACGGCUUUGGUCCAAACACUCUGUCCCAUGUUAUGGGUUUCCGGCAACUACAGAAAUCAUCCGGGAAUCAGUAUUUUAAGAUAACCAAAGGUAACACAUGAAGAAGCACUUGGUCCAUGAUAUAGAGUCGCACGUGAUUGCAGCUGGAUAGCUUUUGAAGAAUGUAUAUAUCUCCAUGAUUUGAUUAAUGUUUCAUCUAUUAUAUUAUACGAAAUUUAAAUCAGAAAACGAUGAGAAGGCUGUAGCUGCAGUAUCUAUGAAAUAAUUUUCUUUCCAUCCUCUUUUUUGGAGAUUGAUCACAGAUUAGAGAGUUGUGACCAAUCUGUAAAUGUGUGCUACAUUACAUAUGUUGGCGAGAUAGGAAAGUUACUGAAGUCCUAAACUGGAGUGAAAUGGAGACGGCAUUUGGUGGACUAAACAUGUUAGGAAUGGGGGAACUAGAAAGAACAGAUUUCAAGUAUUUAAAUGACUGGCUGAGGAUAAUUUCCGAGUCGUGGUAUUAUGGUCACCCUCCUUACGCCCUUCAAAAUCCACAAUAGAGGAUACAUAAAUCAACUCUAUGCAAUUGCACGGAAACAAUGUUGAUCAGGUUUGAGCUUCGCCGGCAAAACCGACGUUCAUUUUUGUGGAAAAUCAUCUCAGGGAUCGAAUUGGUCCUCAAUGGCGAAACCUGACUCCUUUCAUCUAAUCCUGCAUUCAUUCUCUCUGCCUAGCGUCCUUUGCAUUUCGAAUUAGGGACGUCGAAGUUUCAAGACCUUGUUGGAUCCGGCGACAAAAAAAUUUCACCAAUGAAGACCCAGAGGCUGGUCAAACGUCAACAGCCCAGUUUGAUCUUAAUGGAUGCAAAGAAAAGAACAAGACGAGCUCGGUCCGAGAAAAGCCCCGCUUUGAUGGAUCUGGCUCUUCAUUAUUUUUUUAUUUGUUAUUUAUUAUAAAAUAAUAAUUUAUUUAUUAUUAUAAGUAUUAUUAUCUUAAUUUUUUUUACAAAGGAUGCAUGUUUGACCACCAUCGCGACGCAAAUGAGCAUUUUCCACAAUAUUAUGAAUAAUUAAAUGAGAUAGUACCAUUUUAGUCAAAUCCACAUUCAAUGAGAUUUUUUUUUUUUUUUUUUUUGGGUUGGUGAAUUCAAUAGGAUUCAAAAGUGUCAACAUAAUAUAAAUUUAGAACUCUCUUCCACAAGUUGACAGUUAUGGAAAAAUUAUGUGAAGUGCGUCUUUGGGUAAUGUGAUAAAUAUAACUAAUUAAAGUGUAGAAGCUAUAUGAACGUUUUUGUUUUUUUUUUAAUAAGAUCCAGUUUAGAAUCUGGAAAUUCUUGAAAUGUGAUUAUCUUGAUCUAGUAAGUGCAAUUUAUGCAAGGUCACUCAUGCAGCAAUGCCUAUAUGUUUGGUGUGUUUUUCAUGUAGUUGUGCUGGUUGAACACUUGUGGUCUUGGGACUAAAAGGAUGCCCAAAUUUCAUUUGUUUGAUCGUUGUCAUCGUCAUCAUUAUUCUUGCUAUCUCUUUUAGCAUUUGUUAGGCAAAUUUUGGAGGAAGCACCGGCAAUCAAAACUUAACAGAUCUCUUGGAUCUUGACGCAUAUGGUCAACUUAAGACCAAUCCUUGCUUUUCUUCUUCUUCUCGUGAUAGUAAUAAAUAGCUUAACUCAAGCCUUUGGCUCUCACAAGUAGCAUUGCUUGAGUCGGUUCUUAGUUGGAUGGUAAAUUAAGCCAUGCAAUGGACAUGAACAAUAAAUGCAUUGUGGUAGAUUGAAUCCUAGCAAGAUUUUUUUUUGGGUAGAUAUGUGAUUCGGGGAUGGACUAGAUGGCCUUUAGUCAAUCCAACAAAACGGUGAAUGAUUGUUGAGACUUAAAAGCUUGAAAAAAUGUGGCUCUUAGUAGAAUAGGAAAUGUUACUGCCCAACAUGAGUUGACAAUGACAAGGAAACUAGAAUUAUAAGUGGAAGAAUUUGCGACACUCCAAAUCUCACGUAAGAUGGGAAAGAACUUGAGAUAUAAGUUGAAACCUACUCCCAAGAAUCACCAUCUAUAUUCUUUUUUAGGGAGAUUGGCCCCGCUGAAUGCUCCAAGUCAUUACAUGUGUUCAUUUAGAUUGAGGAAUUGUCACUACCCAACAUGAGUUGACAACAACGAGGACACUAGAAUUAUAGGUGGAAGAGUUUGUGACACUCCAAAUCUCACAUAAAAUGGGAAAGAACUUGAGAUAUAAGUUGAAACCCACUCACGAGAAUCACCACUUGUAUACUUUUCUAGGGAGAUUGGGCCCGUUGAAUGCUCUAAGUCAUUACACGUGUCCAUUCAAAUUGAGUAAAUUUGUGUCCUCAUGUAAUAUUUGAUGGAGCAAAAUGAAGAUAAGAAAUUCCCUAAAGUUAGUCCUAAUGUAUCGCAUUAGAAAGUUAAUUCUAGACCCAAUCAAUAAAAGAUCCGCUCUAAAUGUGGACCGAUUGGUACUAUUUUUAAGGCAGCAGGCCCGACCCACAAGAUCACAACCUUAAGGUCAAUGAGCAGAUCAAUCCCUGAUCCAUGCUAAUGGUCCGAGAACAGAAUAAUAGGAACGACAUGUUAAUUAGAAUUGAAAAAUCAUUGUUCUAAAGAGCAUGAGAAACAUUGCACCAAACUGAAAUUAGAAUUAUUCAAUCGCAUCGUUGCCAAAUGCCAUGUCUUUCUUAGGGCUCCUGUGAAGUAGCUCGCAUCAUUAUCUACUAGUGAGAAGUGAAUAAUUCAACUUCAUUUGCGAUUAUCAUAUUUUUCACUUCUAGGAAGACUGUUUCUGAGGUGUUUUUUCGUACAAGUUCAGUGAAUAUUUCGAUUAUUUAGUAUUCAUUUUUUUUUUAGCAAUGAUAAUCAAGAAAACUGUAAGGGCAUGUAGAUUACUUUCUUGAGUUUGACUUAUAUGUAUUUUCUUAUGUUGGCUGACUUUUGUGACCAUCUACUAUUAACUAAGUCAGCAUGAGAUUUAUAACACAUUUAAAUAUCUUGCAGAUUACUUUUUUUUCCAAUAGUGAAAUUUAAAUUCUCAAAAAUAAAAUGUAUGUGUUGAGGUGUGAAAACUUCAAUCGAUCGGCGCACGGGUCAAAUUCUAGUUGUCUUAAAAGCAAGAGCAAUUACUCGGUCUUCUUCACUUUACUUAAUAAUGAAAUGUUUUUUCAAAAAAUGGUCAUACAUGUUCCAGGGAAAAAUUAGUACAAUAAUUUUUUGUUAAUUGAUUAGUUAGCGCCCUAAAGGUAAUUCUUUUGAAAGACAGUUAUUUUUAUUGAAAAGAACCUAGGGUUAUUGGCUCAACAUGUGAAACAUGCUCCUUUUUAACCGCAGGGAAAAUAUUAUUGUCCUUAGAGUAGGACUUGUAGAGUACUUUGGACCUUACAUGGCCACGUGAACCACGCCAUGUUUUUAGUUGCAAAUUACUCGCGACAUCGAUGUUACAUUGGAAAAAGAGAAAAGAAAAGUAAAAGCAAAAGGACGGCAAUAUUAUUGCCCUCUAAGUAGGGGUGAGCAGUGGUUUAGAGUCGACUUUGGACCGACCCUGGACCGGCCCAACUCUGCCGGUCCUGGUCCGGUUCCCAAGGGGACUGGGUCGGUCCUUGGUCCUGGAAUUCCAGGACCAAUACUGUGCGAGUUGGUCCUCGGUUCUGAGAGUUUUGGGUCGGUCCAACCCUGGACCAACCCUGUUUAUUAUAUUAUAUUAUAUUAUAUUAUAUUAUUUAUAAUUCUUUUAUAUAUUCAAACCUAAGUAAAAUUUAUGUUAUAUUAUAUUAUAUAUAAUUCUUUUAUAUAUAUAUUAAAACCUAAGUAAAAUGAUGUUAAAGUUGUUGAUUCCUCAUGCUCAUAGUCAUGGACAGACGGCAUCCAAUUCCAAAAGGCGUGAAGUUUACGCUGUAAAGGUCUUCACGGCCUCCUCCUCCACAGUCUAGACUCCAGAGUACAUUAUUCACCAUGAGGACCAAGGACUCCUCAUAGUCAUGGACUCGCGACGUCCAAAAUGACGCGAAGUUUAUGCCGUAAAUCUCCUCAAGGUUUUCUUCCCUAAAGUACGUUCUCUUCCAUUUUGUCUUCUUUGUUCUUCAAUUUACCAAAAUCAAAAGUAGCAACAUCCUGCUCGCCUCUGGUUGCCCGCGCCACUCACCUUUGACCGUGCGCGCUGCUGUGCGCUCACACUCACACUCGCCCUUUGCUGUGUCGCUAGCCUUGCUAAUGCUCGCCACUCACCACUCGCUGCUAGUCUCGCUCAAUGCUCGUCGCUUGCUGCUGGCAUCACUAAAUGCUUGCCGCUGGCCUCACUAAACGCUUGCCGCUUGCCAGUUGACGCUCACCCCACUCAACACUUGACACUUGUGCUCGCCACUCGCGCUGGUUGCCUCACUUAUCACCGAGUAAAUCAAAAGGAAAAAAGAAGAAGCCCUAAUUAGAAUGCUCAGCUUGCCCUUGCUUUCCAAACACAACUUGACUAGUGAUAUCUACUUUGUGCUUCAUUUGAGAUCUUGUAUUGGUAUUUAUAGUUUGGUUGCACAAUGCCACAUUGUCGAUGGAUGUGUAAUUUGAAUUUGUAGGUUUACUUUUUUAAGGAGUAUAAAAAACAAGACGAAAUAAAUUAUCGAUCAGUCCCGGGUUGACCCUGGAACUGAACCGAACUCAUUGGGUCGGUCCGGUCCUUGGUCCCAGGCUCAAUAGGGUCGGUCCUCGGUCUUAAAAAUUGAGGACCGACACUGUACGGGUUGGUCCUAGGGUUAGGGGGUGGCCCGGACCAACCCGGACCAUGCUCACCCCUACCUCUAAGGACCUAUAGUGGAUGGGGGACCUUAUAAUUGAGUCUUUGAUGCUUCCUAUCUGAAUAAAAUAACUGAUGGACAUGGAAGAUGUGAAAAGGCGAGGAAGGUCCUAAGUUCAUAAAAGUUCAUCCUAUCAAACGUCCCUUGUCACCAACCAAACAAAAAAAUGAAAGAAAAACGUUGUAUAUCCAUGUAAAAAGUAUCAUAUUUCUAACUAUAAAUGAUUCGUGACGUUAGCAUCAUUUUCAAAGAAAAAGGCAAAAGGACAAGCAUACAUUAUUGUCCUCGAAGGACUUGUAGUGGAUUUUGGACCUUAUUCGUGUCCGAUUAAAGCAAUGAUGGACAUGUGACGUGUGAAAAGACCAAGAUGACCCUAGAUUUGCAAAAGCUCAUCCAAAAAUUUCGAAGUAAGAAGGAUAUCAUUGUCAUAAUAAUUGUAGGAUGCCUAUUUUAGUACCAAAAUUUUUCAAAUAGAAAAAUCACCAAUUCAGUCCUAAAGAGGUCUAUUGUACAAAUUGAAAUAUAGUCUUUCAUCUUUCAAUUUGACCAAUGUAGUUUUUCUAAUUAAUACUUGCCCGAAGUUGUUGACAUGAUGGUCCAAUUAUCAUCAAUCAUCUUUCAUGGCAAACUGGGGAUCUAACAUGGACAAAUUUCGACUAUGAUUAAUAGAUACUACCUAAUCACAAACUCCAUUAGCAUUUUUCGGCCAAGAAUUUGGAUUUAUUAUAUUACUAAUAUUAUAAAUUCAAGUUAAGAAUAAAACUUCUGGUGAAAAAAAAAAUCAAGAAUAAAAUGAAAGAUCUUGAUCACCGAAUCACAAUCAAACUUACCCCUUUUGAGUAUACCAAUUCAACCAAUUGAUGUGAAGAUAUAAUAUUCAAUAUUGAAGCUUUGAAGAAUGGUGAUAUUUUAAUAAUGUUCAUAUCACUAAGCCACCUUUCCAAACUCACUGCUUAAACUACCUAACUUCUAUGGUUGUGUUUGGUCAUGUCUUAAUAAGCUAAUGUUCGAUAUAAUAGCAUUUGGUCGAAGUGAAUUCUCCAUCAAUUUUCUCAUGCUCAAUUUCAUGUUUGAAGGAUGAUAGAUCUUACCAUGCACUACGAUAAAUAUUUUCGAGUCUAAACUACUUAAGCUAAGUAAAAAAACGGAGGAGCUGAGUAUCAAAUCAGUCGGUAGUCAAAACAAUGAGUCAAUUUGUCGAAAUAUCACCGAUGUUAGUUGAUGAUCUCCAUUUGUGGAGAUGACUAAAUUCGCGGUCAAAUAGAGUGAUAUACCGAAUUAUAUAACAUAUUGCAAAUGGACCUUUAAACAAAUGGUCAUAUGCAACAUUAAAGAGAAGUUUGACAAGCUCAUAAUAUUCCAAUUUUAAUAAAUUGGCUUGUUAUUUUGCUAUCAUUGAAAGGGCCAAGACACUAUUUGUUGGAGAAACGGGAGGGCAAGAUUACACUCAAUCUUGGCCUUUCCUGAAGUUAAAGGGCAGGGCAUGGUCCGGGGGCUGAACAAAGCAUUGAUGGAUAACUUGCGACUGCUUGCAUUGACGAUGUUUGUGAGCUCCAGGUCCUUUUUCGACGUUGCUUGCGAGAUGGAUGACGACUGCUUCAAUUUUGACCCAUGGUACCAAAGAGUCGAAAUGCGCUGAGUGGGAGGUUUUUUUUUUUUUUUUUUCUGGAAUAAGUUAAGGAUUUUUGUUUGAGACUUAGAUUGGAUUUUGACCGAUGGUAAAAAUAAUGGAAAAAAAUAUCAUCUCUAUUUUGUAAAUGAUCGUACUAGACACAAUCGCUAGUUUGGAUUAACCGGUCCCUACAACUACAGAAAGCGAAUGCCAACUAUAGAGCGAUAAGAAUAUUAUGGUUGCCCUAUCAACAUCAACCUAUGGAUGGACAUGCUCCUUAUCGAAAGAGGUAAGUUUUCUUUUAGAAGCCAGAAUGAGUUCACUCUUGAUCAUAACAAGUGUUUACUUGAUCCUAAGAAUGAUGCAGUUGGCCUCUAAGGACCGCGCACUUGACCUAAACGAGAGCAUGGAUCAUGACGAGAAGCAUGCACUUCCCUCAUGCACAUCACCCUACAGAGCAUGCACCUUAUCCAUAAUAGGACUGCGUUUUAACAGGGGCCUCGUAAUUUCUCCAUAAACAAUGAUCUUUUACAUCCUGCCCUUUUUUUUUUUUCUGGGUCAGAUUGACACCAUGUCCUUAACUGGUUCAUGAAAUGGCGGCCAGACAACAACACGAAGUACUGUGCCACGGAGAGGGAAGAAGUACAAGAUGACAAGAUUGAAGGUACAUAAAUAUUAGUACAAAAAGCAAUUUAUCGAAUACCCUGUCAAUGAAGGAUAUUUCAAUGACACUAUCGAACCGAGACAAUUCGUGAUUCAUCAGUUGCGCGAAAACCAACGAGGAGAACUUUUCUAAAUUCCACAAGGAGCCUCACCACCUAUUAUUUCUAAGCAAUGACACUAUUGAACCGAGACAAUUCGUGGCCCGUCAGUUGCGCAAAGACCAACAAGGAGAACUUUUCUAAAUUCCACAAGGAGCCUCACCACCUAUUAUUUCCAAGCAAUGACAUUGUCGAACCAAGACAAUUCGUGGCCCAUCAGUUGCGCGAACACCAACGAGGAGAACUUUUCUAAAUUCCACAAGGGGCCUCACCACCUAUUAUUUCCAAGCAAUGACACUGUCGAACCGAGACAAUUCGUAGUCCAUCAGUUGCGCGAAGACCAACAAAGGAGAACCCUUCUAAAUUCCACAAGGAGCUCACACCUAUUAUAUCCACUCAUUUCGUCUUAACCACCACCUAUUUAUUAUCCACUCGUUUGUCCUUAACUAGUAGAAUCUCGCAUGCGUGGCACAUGUUAACACAAUACAUAUCUAUAACGACGUACAUAAAUCAAAUUUGAAUUAAAAAGAUUCGAGAUUCUUUAUUUGACUUCUAAGUGUCAUUAAGUAAGGGAUAUUUCCGCAAUUUUCAAGAGAAUUAUAAAAAAAGAAGAAGCAAAGUGACAAUUUCUCUUAUAAAUCAUACAUAAUGAGACAAUUCAUUAUUUAUAAAAUCUUUUGAAAAAUCUUUGAAUUUUCUUCAACAUGAAAUUAAAAAACACUCAUGUGAGAAAAGGAUAACAAUAACAUACAAACUAAAAUAAAAUAGCAAAGAAAUUGAAAAGUAUAAUAUAUGGAGAAAGAGAGGGAGUAAUUAAUAAAUUAUUUGUGCAAAAGGGCAAUGAAAAUAGAGAAGUAAUAUAUUGGCAUCUUCGGGUGGUUAAUAAAUGUUUUGGAGAUGAGUGAGUGAAUAUUAAAAAACGUUUAGAGAGUUUAGGGUUGGCAUAUUACUACGACGAUCUGGAAUCGUUCUCUCUGAAAUAUGAUAACUAAUGAAACUCCCUAAAAAAAGAAAAAACUUAGGUUAUUUUGUUAUUACGCCAUGCUACGAUUGUACGAAGUAGACAUUAAUAUUAACAUGAAAUUGUCAUAUCAAACAAACUUAGACACGUUCCUUGAUCAAUUGUUAUAAUUUUUUUUAUGAUUCAAAUAUCCAUCAAACUUCUCUCAUAAAGGCUUUCUUGAUGACAAUAGAAGGGCUUCGUUAUGUCCCUAAACCAUCAUUUCUCACAAAAACUUGUCUCGAAAAGUGCAAUCGAGUCCUAAAACUUUCCAAAAGUGCAAUUAAUGGAAGGACUUAGAUUGAACCACUUUGAUUAGUUUUAGGACUUGAUUGCACUUUUUUUUUAAAUUGUAGGAGUUAAUUGCACUUUGUGACAAGUUUUAGGAUUUAAUUGUAUUUUUUGAAAGUUUUAGGACUAAAUUGUAUUUUUAUGACAAAUUUUAGGAUUUUUAAUACACUUAUUUCUAUAUUUAUGUAUAGAGUCCUGAAAUCUGUACGAAUUGUCUUGCAAAUAACAGUAACAAAUAUUCUCGAAAAAGCAACCUCUUAAUUCGGUAAUAAAAAUGGUUUUAAUCGAUGGUAAAACAUACCCCAUGUAAUCCAAAAUCAAGUCAUCGUGUACGUAUAAAUAUUGUAGCCCCGGAAUGGAAGCUUUUUAUUUAUUUAUGCUGAUUGUGCACAUAAUAGAAAGAAUAAUGAUGAGGUGACCGCACCGUUACUCCUUGGAGAGUAACGUUGCUCCCCUAACCACAAGCUUAGAUUAAAAAAAUAAAUUAAAUAAAAUAGAAAAAUCCUAAGGAAUUGAAAAGAGUUUUAUUGAAAGCAUUAUCAACAUGAAAUAUUUUAUAUUUCAUGUAGAAAGACCAGUCCAAACAUUUUUAUUAUAAGACAAAUAAAUUUAGGAUUUCUAUUGACAACAUCACUAUUUAAAACAUUUUUCAUACUUACAGUCGUAAAAAAUUAUAUUCAUCAUUUAACAAAAUUAAAACAAUUACCAAAAUUAGCCCUUGAAUAUUUAUUUAUACAAUUUAAAGCAUUUAUGAAUUCAACUUAAGCCAAACCAAUCCAAGUUAACUCAAAAACCAAAAACAUGAUCAUUUUGUAACUAUCCAAAAUUGAAAUUUAUUUUAAAAUGUAUAGUAUAUUGAAUUUGUUUGAUUAAUUAUUUUGCCUCACUUCCCUUUUUUAUAUUUUGUAUAGCCCAACUUUUUCACCAUGCUAGUCAAAUUUCAAUUUAUCAUAUCUUAACUAAAUAAGUAUAUAUUGUGUCUACAUUCAACUGAUAUAACUAGUAUAAGCACCUAGAGAGGGGUGAAUAGGUGUAAAAAUAAUUUCUCGAGAUAUGAAAGCAAUACUGGACUAACAACAUAAAGGAAGCUUUCCUUUAGUUAACAAAUCGAACUAUGAUCAAAGUAAAACGAAGAGUAAGGAAGAGAAAAUUGAACACAAGGUUUAUAGUGGUUCGGCUUAUUUCAAGCCUACGUCCACUAUUCUGCAUUGACAGCCCACUGGCUGGAUUUCACUAUGAACAAAAGAGAUAUUACAGCACUCAUUUCCCUUGAUUCCACAGUGUAGAUAUUCUAUCACACUUCCUCAAGGUAUCUCAAAGUAUAGACUCUCUUUUGCGUACAAGAUUUCACUCAGCAAAUGAAUUGACUAAGAAUCAAAGAGCUUCAGACUUUGGAAUUCUUCUAUCGUACACCUUUUUGAACAACUGGAACGUCUUUCUCUUAUACUCCUUUAUGUCAUCAUACCCGUUGGCACUUACCAAAUGAAUUCUUCCAAUCCUCCCGUUGGACAUAAUCAAUUAAGAAGAUUAUUCAAGCUAUUAAAGGAGCAUUUCGAUAGCCCAUUUAGCUCAUUCUCAUUCAUCUUGUUCCUGAAAACCCAUUUAGCUCCAAUAAUAUAUUUACCUUUUGGUUUAUGAGUCAACUCCCAGACAUCAUUAAUGCUGAAUUGUAUGAGUUCUUCUUGCAUAGCUUCAAUCCAGCUUUCGUCAGAUAAAGCUUCUCUUUUGGGUUCUAUUUCAGAAAUAAGAGCCACAGCACUAGACUCUUCGCGCCUUUUGGAUCUUGUUUGAAUUCCUUCAUUAAUGUUGCCAAUAAUGAGGUCUUUGGGAUGACUGGACUUAUGCUUCCAGUUACUAGUUGAUUGGUCAGGUUGAUGAUCACUUCCUUCAUUUGAAUCUUCAAUAACCAUUUGUUGCUGGUUUCUUAAAGUCUGAGCUGCUUUUUGAGAUUUAGACUUUGUAAAGUCUGGAGCAGGUUCAGAUUCUUCAAGAUGAGUCUGAGCAGAUUCAUUUUGCAUAGAAUCCUGGAAUUUGACAUUCAUUGAUUCCUCCACAUAUUGACUCUUCUUGUUAUAGACUCUGUAGGCUUUGCUUGAGGAAGAAUAUCCAAGAAAGAUUCAUUCAUCUGAUUUUUCUUCAAACUUACCAACUCUAUCAUUUGCAUUUUUCAAUAUAAAGCAUUUGCAUCCGAACACAUGAAAAUAUGAAACAAUAGGCUUCUUUCCUUUGAAUAUCUCAUAGGGGUUUUUUUUUUUUUUUUCAGAAUAGGCCUUAGAAAAACUCUAUUUAUAAUGUAACAUGCUGUUGAAACUGCUUCAGCACAAAAACAUGAAGAGAUGUUACUUUCAAUUAAAAGAGUUCUAGCCAUUUCUUGAAGUGAUCUGUUCUUUCUUUCCACAACUCCAUUUUGCUCUAGAGUAUAUGGAGAUGAGAACACAUGCUGAAAACCAGAUUCAUCACAGAAUUUUGUAAAAUCAUGAUUUUCAAAUUCACCUCUAUGAUAUGUUCAUAUACUUGAGAUAACAUACUAUUUUUCAUUUUGAAUAUUUUUUUGCAAACUUUUCAAAGUAAGAGAAAGUUUCAGACUUACUUGCCAGGAAAUAUACCCAAGUAAAUCGUGAGUAAUCAUCCACAAUUACUAGGCAAUAUUUCUUACCUCCAAUACUCUAAGUUCUGGUAGGUCCGAAAAGGUCCAUAUGCAGAAGCUGCAGUACACGAUUAGUGGAAACUUGAUUUAUUGGUUUAAAUGAAUUUCUUACAUGCUUUCCCAAUACGCAUGGUGUACAUAGAUCAGACUUUUGGUAUGAUAAUUUAGGUAGACCACGAACAAGCUUCUUUGCUGAAAUUUUGGCUAUUUGCUUCAUAUUGAUAUGCCCAAGCUUUCUGUGCCAUAAGCUUGCUUCAUCUUGAAUUGAGAUUAGACAUUGCGAUUAAUCUGGUUUCACAUCCAAGAGGUAGAUAUUCCCAUGUCUUCGGCCCAUGAAUGACUGAGUAGAGUCUUUACUGAUUCCUGAACAUAUUCCCUCUUGAAAAUUGAUUUUGAAACCAGUGUCACACAGCUGACUGAUACUAAGCAGAUUGUAGUUGAGUCCUUUCACUAGGGAAAUAUUGCUUAUUGUGAGGUUUCCAAUUUUUACAGUUCCAAAUCCCACAAUUCUUCCUUUGCUGUUUCCUCCAAAUGAGACUUUUCUACCAUUUACUUUAACGAGCUUUAUAAAGCAAUUUGAAUCUCCUGUCAUAUGUCUUGCGCAUCCACUAUCCAGAUACCAUUUAACAUUUUUCUUGAUAGUGACCUGCAUUUAAGAAAGAUACUCAAGCUUUUUUUGGUACCCAUAUUUUCUUGGGUCCAUUGAUGUUAGUAUGAUAUGCGGUUUUUGCCCAUACUUUCUUAACAGCUUUCCAAAUCAUAGGACAUUCUUUUUCAAAAUGAUCUGCACUAAUGCACUUUGAACAUCUGAGAGCAUUUCGACCAACUGGUUUUACAAACACUUUUUGAAAAUGAUUUUUGUAAAAUGUCUUUGAAGGUCUUUGCUUAAUUAUUUCCUUCACUUUAGGAAAAUCAAUUAAAGGAAUGGUUUCUGCUAUCAUUCCUAAACCAGAGUUAUUGAAAUAAGGUCUUUAUGCUGAAAGAAUUUUUUUCAAGUUUCUCAAAUCCUAUUGAAAAUCUUUUUGAAAUAUUUGAUAAGUCAUUUUUUAAAAAUGCAUUUUCUUUCAAGAGAUUAUCUUCGCUUUCUUUAAGAGAAGAAACAUUCAUAUCUAAACACUUCAACUUUUCUUUCAAAACAUUUUCCUGUUGUUUUAGUGCAGAGUUUUCCUUUUUAAGUUCGGAAAUCCUUUUAAGAGAAGUCUUAAGACUAAAACACAGCUCAUCAAUGUAUUUAGAGACUUUAACAGGAAUUUUAAAGUUACUUACCUCAAAUCCAUUAUCUGAAUCUGAGUCUAUCUCGGAGUUUGAUUCAGAAUCUGAUUGUGCCAUUAGACAUAUAUUGGCAUAAUCAUCAUCACUUUAUUCACAUUCUGUAUCACUCCAGGUUUCUGCUUUAAGAGCCUUUCGAUACUUUUCAACUUUUCAUUUCUUCUUUUUCAGAAGAGGAUAGUUGGGUCUGAUGUGUCCCUUUUUCUUACAUUCAAAGCAUACUACAUCUUUGUUUGAUUAAUCAUCAUCAACAGACUUGGUCUGUUGCUUUUGAAAAUUAUGUUUCUUUGGAUUGAAUCUUAUUCCUUUUAUGUUAAGCUUUCUGAAUCUUCUUAUCAUGAGAACAAGCUCCUCAUCAUUCAUAUCGUCUUCAGAAUCUGUGACAUCAGAAUCAUCAUUGGAUUUUAAUGCAAUGGAUUUCUUACCUUUAGGAUCUUCGUCUUCAUUGAUUCGUUCCACUUCAUAAGACUGAAGAGUUCCAACCAACUCAUCGACAGAUAGUGGCAUGAUUCUUUGUGUCUCUCUUAUUGAGGUCUUUAUGUGAUUCCACUCCUUGGAAAGUCCACGCAAUAAUUUGUUUACCUUCAUGGGAUCAGAAAUUGGUUGACCUUGAUUUUGAAGACCAUUCACAAUUUCUGUAAAACAACUAAACAUGUCAGUUAUAGAUUCUCCUGAUUUCAUUUUGAAGGCUUCAUAUUGACCGAGGAAAAUAUUGAUUCUGGUCUCUUUCACUUGAUCAGUUCCUUCAUAGGUGAUAUGUAAUCUAUCCCAGACUUCUUUUGAUGUAUCACAAGAAGAUAUUCUAUUAUAUUCAGUAGGUGAUAAAGCACAAUAUAAAGAAUAAAUUGCUUUUGCAUCAAGAGUUUGUCUCUUGAUUAUCUCUUCCUGAGUCAUUUCACUUGACUCGACAAUUUUUUUUCCUCUUUCUGUGACAGAUGCAGCUUUAGGAUUGAUUCCUUUUUCUACAACGUCCCAUUCCAGAGGAUCCUUUGAUCGUAGAAAUGCUUUCAUCUUGUUUUUCCAGAUGUUGUAAUUCUUUCCAUCAAAGUAAGGUGGUAUGGUAUUGCUCUGCCCUUCCAUCAGCCCUGGAGCUAGCAUACGAGCCAUGGAUCUUUAACUCUGAAGUAAAACACUUCAAACAAAGUGAGUACACAUGCUCUAAUACCAAUUGAUAUAGCUAGUAUAAGCACCUAGAGGGGGGGUGAAUAUGUGUAAUAAUAAUUUCUCAAAAUAUGAAAGCAAUACUGGACUAACAACAUAAAGGAAGCUUUCCUUUAGUUAACGAAUCGAACUAUGAUCAAAGUAAAGCGAAGAGUAAGGAAGAGAAAAUUGAACACAAGGUUUAUAGUGGUUCGGCUUAUUUCAAGCCUACGUCCACUCUUCUGCACUGACAGCCCACUGGCUGGAUUUCACUAUGAACAAAAGAGAUAUUACAGCACUGCUUUCCCUUGAUUCCACAGUGUAGAUAUUCUAUCACACUUCCUCAAGGUAUCUCAAAGUAUAGACUCUCUUUUGCGUACAAGAUUUCGCUCAGUAAAUGAAUUGACUAAGAAUCAAAGAGCUUCAGACUUUGGAAUUCUUCUAUCGUGCACCUUUUUGAACAACUGGAACGUCUUCCUCUUAUACUCCUUUAUGGCAUCAUACCCGUUGGCACUUACCAAAGGAAUUCUUCCAAUCCUCCCGUUGGACAAAAUCAAUUAGGAAGAUUAUUCAAGCUAUUAAAGGAGCAUUUCGAUAGUCCAUCAAUCCUGCUCAUCCAUACAAUCAGGAUCUUGAUUUCCAUAAGUAGAACAUUCCAAGAAUACUUCGCCAAUCAUCGGAUCCUUAAUCAAUCUUAAUUCGAAUAAAGGAAUCCGUUAUGUCACAUCCAGCCAAGAGCUAUUCUCCAGUCGAUAAGGCCAAAUCCUUAAUGAAGUAGAUAUGGAUAGUCUGUCUUCAACGGAUUAGAAACUGUCAGUGAGAAUAGACUUUGAGUCUUGAGUUUGGUAGAUCCGGAGGUCUUCAGACUUUAAUAGAAGAGUCUGCAAAACUUCAGACUAGACUGAUAGAAACGUUUUGUCAGCUUCAAAAUAUUCCAGAAAGAUUUCUCCAACAUCAACAACACAACAAGACUGAUUGUAGUGUACAAAAUUUUUCACUUAUUCUAUAAUGUCUUGGAAUGUAAUUAAAUUAGUGAAAUACACGUGUGGAUUACUAAGAUGACUUUCUUUAUGUCAAUAUAUUGUUGCAGGUACACUAUGAAGGAUUGAGUUUUACAUUUAAAUAGUUAAUCAAAGCUGUUAAAAAAAGUUCACAGGCAUAAGUAUAUUUCCCUUUCGUUAAUUUUUAUUGAAUUGUCCAAAUUCUAAGAAAAUUUUGUUCAGAUUUUCUCUGAAAUUUAUGUGGUUGAAAAGGCAGCGUUAUUGCCGUCAGCCCAGCAAGGUCCUAAUAGAAAUUGUAGCUCAAAGAGUAUAUAUUCCGUAUGUAGAUUUGGCAUUCAUUUUACUAAAAAAAGUAAUACAGGAUAAAAUUAUGCAAUAUUAAUGAACGAAAUAAUUUAAAGAAAUCUCUCCACUCUACAUAAAAACAUCUCCAUGCACCAUUGUAGAGGAUAAAAAGGUUGUCUCUUUCAUCCACUUUGUCUCUUUAUGCAAAUCAUCUCUACUUCCUCAACUCUUAUAAUAGCUCGAUGGGCAAAAAUUCAUUUAUAUAUGGGAUGAGGAAAAGCAAAACAGAUUUGAAUGCAAAAAAAAAGAUGAAGGAGGGAGAGCCUCGAAGAGCAAUCAAUGGAGAAAGAAACACCAGGAACUUUUUACAGGAAUAUGUAAUUAUCAACGGCUGAGAUUUAAUACCAUUCAUCCAACAAUUUAGAACCUUAAUAAAGACCCAAACAUGAGAAAGAAAGAGGAGAGAGGUAUGGACCAUGGAACUCUGUAGCCUAACCUUUGUUAAUGCCUUAACUAAAAGUCUGAAAGUGAAUGUUAGAAUAGGAUUAGAGUAGGACCGAGCGAAAAAAAAAACACUAAUCUAUUUCUUGGUAAUUGGUAGCGGACUGCUCUAAAUCAUCUCUAGUCAAAACUAAAUAUUAAAAUCCGACCAAAGAAAAAACUAUUAAAGAAAGACUAUUGCUGAUUAACUCAAUCAAGACAAGUAUAUAUACGGAGAUGGAUGAUGAGGUUUUAGUCUUAAACCCGCUUCUUGUCUGCCAUUAUUAGGAGAAAGAAUGGAAAGAACAACAAUAGAGGUGGAUGGGCAUUACGUAACAGUUAUGCACACUAUAACGCUAGGAUAUGUAAGUAUAUAUUAAAUUCCACCUAUUUGAACGGCAGAUGGGCAUAUUGAAGUUAGGCUGCUCCUCUUUAACUGGGAUAAAACAAUAAACAUGUAUAUUUUUUGACCAAGGAAGCUUUGCUAUGAUAUAAUCUAUGAUAUAAUCAUUGUUGCUUGGUAAAAAGGGGCAAAAAAAAAAUAAAAAAUUGAAGCUUGAACGUUUGCAAUUUAAUUCGAUCUAUAAUUACCCGAUUCUCUUUUCCAUCUACUAUAAUCUGAUUAUAUAUUCUUGGGAGAGCAUAUCUAGGUGAUGACGACAGAAUUGAAGAGAAACUAACAAAUUUUUUUAAAUUAUUAUUAUCAUCAUUUAAAAAUAAUUUUUUAUAGUGUUUUUGGACACUUAUUGAGCAAUAUGGGCCCACUUUUUUACCUUCUGAACCUUUGGCGUCUUUAAUAAUUCCAAGACUUUGGUCCCAUUUCCGACCAACUUGCUUCAGAGAAAUUGAGGCAACAAAAAUGAAAUUAAAUCAAAAGGGACAUGAUGAAAUGCAACGGCAGCUUCUUCCGAGAAAGAAAGAGCCCUUUAGUGCUUAAAAGUCUUUUGAUUCGCUCCAUCAUUUGAUGCUGUUGUCCUGGCCGGAGUAACUUCGGUUCCCUCUCCGCUCUGCACACUUUAUUUCAACCCUUCUGGGCACUCUUGUUUAGUCCUCUACCGCUCACGAAUCAAGCCAUGCCCAUCACAGAGCUCUUUCUUGGCGCCUUUCUUCAGGUGUUGUUCAAUAGGUUGGCCUCUCCGGAGCUCCUCAACUUUGCACAGUGUGGGGGGAUUGAUAUGCGGUUGAAGAAAUGGGAGAAGAUGCUGGAGAGUAUCAAGGAGGUGCUGGAUGAUGCAGAGGAUAGGCAACUCACCGGCCAUCUCGGGGUGAAGUCGUGGCUAGAAGAUCUUAAAAACUUGGCCUAUGACAUCGAAGACUUGCUUGAUGAGUUCGUCACAGAAUCCACUGAAAGCAAGUCCAAGGCAGAAUCCAACACUAGCAAGGCGUGUUCCCUUCUUUCCAAUUGUUGCUUUAGAUUGAGUCCAAGAGAAUUUAUGCUCGACCACAAAAUGAGAUCUAAGAUAGAAGAGAUGGAUGCCAAAUUACUGGAGAUCAUAACUCGAAAAGACAGUCUGAGCUUGAGAGAGAAUAACGAGAAGCAAUCAACAAAUCGUUUACAGGAUAAGCCAAUUCCAACUACACAUUUGACUGAGGGUUGUUUUGUUGGUAGGGAAGAAAAAAAAAUGGAGAUUCUCAAAUUACUAACCGAAGAAAAAGAUGAUAGAAUAACUACGAACAUAAAAGUGAUUCCCAUCGUAGGGAUGCCGGGUCUUGGGAAGACAGCUUUGGCUCAGCAAGUCUUCAAUGAUGCUAGAGUGACCGGUUACUUUGAUGCAAAAGCAUGGGCUUGUGUUUCUGAUGAUUUCGAUGUGCUUGCUAUUACGAAGAGUAUCCUACAAAAAAUCGACUGCACUUUGUCUAGUGAAGAUAAGGACCUAGAUUGGCUUCAGGAUAAGCUCAAACAAAACCUUUCAGGGAAGAAGUUUCUUAUCGUUUUGGACGAUGUUUGGAACGAGAAUUAUGGAAACUGGACUAUCCUCUUGAAGCCUUUUCAAUCGGGAGCCAAGGGAAGCAAAAUCAUCGUCACGACCCGUAAUUCCCAUGUUGCUGAAAUAGCCGGUGCUCGACCUUAUACUCUUAGAGAGUUGUCACGAGAAGCUUGCAUGACUCUACUUGCAUUUCAUGCUCUUGGAGUCAAAAAUUUUGAUCAUCAUCCUUAUCUUGAAGCAUUAGGUCUCAAAAUAGUGGAAAAAUGCAAAGGGUUGCCACUAGCUGUAAAGACAUUAGCUGGGCUACUACGCACUAAAGUUGGUCCCCUUGAAUGGCAAGCUGUAUUGAACAGCAAGAUUUGGGAUCUACUGAAAGAAAGAAAUGACAUCCUUCCAGCUUUGAAACUUAGCUACCUCCAUCUCCCUUCCAAUCUGAGGAGAUGCUUUGCUUACUGUGCUAUAUUUCCCGAGGACUAUGAAAUACAACGGGACGAAUUGAUUCAUUGGUGGAUUGCAGAGGGCUUGGUGGACAAAAAAGAAGCAAAGAGUCAAUGGAAUACAGGUUUGAAUUAUUUCAACGAGCUAGUAAACAGGUCGUUAUUACAAAAGUCAAAUAGCAAUGGAUCACAAUUCUUAAUGCAUGAUCUUGUGAAUGACCUGGCAAAACUAGUUGCAGGUGCAUCCCAUUAUAGUUCAGGGGAAUUUGAGUUUGUGGAUGAUCACAAUAAUGCGUCUUUAGCUCGUCACGCCUCAUUCCUUCCAAGAGAGUAUAUUAUGCCAGAAAGACUCAAGAUAUAUCAUCAAAUGCAAGGACUUAGGAGCUUCAUAUCGUUAGGGAAUCAAUGUCAAUUUUCCUUUGUGACCCAGAAAGUGCUAUAUGACUUGUUGUUGAGAUUGAAGUACUUAAGGGUGCUUUCAUUGAGUCACUAUUACAUCAACGAGGUACCAGAAUGCAUUGGCAAACUAAGGCACCUAAGGCACCUUAAUCUAUCACGUACUAGUAUUGAAACCCUUCCAAAGUCGAUUGUUGCAUUGCACAACCUAGAAGCUUUGAUGUUGCAAGACUGUUACAUGCUUAUCAAAUUACCUGAAGGUAUGGAAAAACUUAUCAAUCUAAGAUUUCUUGACAUUACCAAUACUUCAAGUCUAAGAGUAAUGCCACUAAAUAUAGGUAAUUUAUUGGGUCUUGAGAUCUUGUCCAAGUUUAUAGUUGGAACGGAAAAUGGGUCAAGGUUGAAUGAGUUAAAAAACCUAAAGAACCUUCAAGAGGAAUUGUGCAUCUCUGAUUUGCAUAAAGUUCAAGAAGCUAGAGAAGCCAAAGAUGCCAAUUUACUCAUGAAGGAGGGAAUAUGCCGGUUGAACAUGCAAUGGUGCACAAAUUUUGAAAAUUUCCGGAAUGAAGAGCUUGAAACAAAGGUCCUUGACUUUCUUUGCCCUCACCAAAACCUUGCACAUCUUAAAAUAUCCUACUAUGGCGGCCUAAAAUUCCCAUCUUGGUUAGGUAGUCCGACACAUGUUAACAUAAUGCAUUUACAUUUAUAUGGGUGUCAAAGGGUCAAAGAAUUACCAUCGCUUGGGCAGCUAUCUUCGUUGAAAGAAUUGUACAUCAAAGGUUUAAAUGCAAUAUGCAUGGUAGGGUCUGAAUUUUAUGGAAGUAAAAGUCCUUUUCCAUCCUUGUUGACUUUGGAAUUCAAGGGCAUGCCAUUGUGGGAGGACUGGUCUCAUUGCAUCAACACUGAAGAAGUUGGAGUUGUAUUCCCUCGUCUUGAGCAUCUCGUCAUUCAGGAUUGCCCUAUGCUAAUCGGAAGAUUGCCUAGUCAACUAAGCUCCCUUGUAAAGCUUGAAAUUAACUCAUGUCCACGUGUGGAAGCCUCGCCAUCUUUCAAUGGCCUUUCAUCUCUCAGUGAAUUAAAAUUCGAAAGUUGUAAUGAGAGGGUGCUGCAUAGUUUGGUAAACCUGGCGUCUCUUACUACUCUAAAGAUAAAUGAUGUUGCUGAACUCAUGUGCUUAAAUCAUGGGUUUACAAGCUCCUUGAUCAAGCUAGAGAAGUUGGAGAUCGAAAGGUGUACAGAGUUAAUAUAUUUGUGGCGAGAUGGAGAUGUAAUUCAGAAUCUCAAUUGUCUAAAGAGAUUAGUCAUAUGUAGUUGUCCAGAAUUCAUAUAUUUUGUGGCUAAAGAAGGAGAUAUAGAGCUGCCUAGCAACCUUGAGACUAUCAAAUUGGAAAAUUGCAUCAAUUUAGAGAAGCUCCCAAGCAAGAUGUACACCAUCUCCUCUCUUAAAGACUUGACAGUUAGUGGCUGUCCAAAACUCGUGUCCUUCCUUGAAAUAGGUAUACCGACAUCUCUAAUAUCAUUAAAUAUCGAGAACUGUGAGAUGUUGCAAUCUUUACCCAGAGAAUUAAGUGCUCAUCUAGAUGAACCAAGCAGCAGUAGUAGCAAUACCCGCAGUGACAUUAUAUCUUGUCUACAAGACUUAAGCAUCUCCGGAUGCAAUUCUUUGCCAUCCUCUCCAUUCAGCGAGGGUAUAGUUUUACCCACGACCCUCAAGAGGCUUGACAUUUGUCACUGCAGUGGAGUGGAGUCGCUUGCGGAGAUAAAACUAGACCCUCUUCAGUUUAUUCAAGAGAUUAGAAUUUGGGGUUUGGAGAAUUUGAGAAGCUUACCCCAGGGUCUACACACGCUGUCUCGGCUCACUUCCUUGAGAUUGAGUGGCUGUCCUGUUUUGGAGAUGGAGUGCUUCCCUCCUCUUCCUCUCGGAAUCUCUACGUUUGAGCUUGGGAAUUGUCCGAAGAUAAAAUCGUUACCUAAUCAGUUGCAUCAACUCUCGAGUCUUCGACAUCUAUCAAUUUGGGGGUGUGAGAGAUUGACGCGCUUCCCCGAGGGAGGAUUGCCGCCCCAGCUAGAGAGACUUUGGGUAAUUCGAUGCAAGAAUAUGAAACAGCCGGUGAGGGAGUGGAUUACCCCCCUUACCUCCCUUCGAAAUAUGACAAUCGACAGCAGCGUGGGAGGAGUGGGAGAGGAGGAGGAUCUUGUGCUUCCGCUCCCUUCCUCUCUGCUCAAGCUCUCUAUCUUACGUAUGGGGAAAGUGGAAAAACUAUCCAAUAGUCUCCCUCCCUCUCUCCGGUUCUUGGAGAUCUCCAAUUGCCCAAAGCUGAGGGAAUUACCCCAGGAUGGCCUCCCUCCCUCCCUAGAAGAACUCCUUAUUUGGAAUUGCCCAAUUCUGAAGGAGCGAUGCAGGAAAGGGACUGGCUGCUAUUGGCCCCUCAUCCGCGAAAUCCCAUAUAUUCAAAUACCGUGAACCCUAGCUCUUUCAUCAUCUGUGUCCUUCCCCCGUUGUGGUGUGCACCUCAAUCGCCACCGCUGCUUCGACUCUCCACUCCGUCGUCGUCCUCACCUCCAUCUCCAUCUCCAUCUCCAUCUCAUGAAUAUAUUUCAAUUAAAACAGGUAAUCGAUCUUUCCGAUCACUACUCUUCAAUACUCGUAGUCACUUCUCUUUCUCAGAUUUGGCAUCACUUUUCCUCCGAUUCUUUCGUUCUCGGUGUGCUCCGCCUCAUUCUCCAAGAUUCUUUCAAUCUUGCUGGCCUUUCAGAUUACAUUGGAAUUCCCAUCGGUGAAGUUCCCCGGUACUAAGACUAGGAGGAGAAGAUGCUGCUGAAGGGGGGACCCCUGAUGUGAGAUUGCUCCUCAUUGUAGAGACGAAGAGGGGAGAUGCCACUGCAGGCUCUGCUAUUCUUAACACCUUUGACCUUUUUGUGGAAACUCUUUCCCAUGAUUAGAGUUGGCUCUCAAAUUACUCACGGGGGAUAGAGGUAUGUAUAUCUGUUCUCUUUCCCUAUUCAUCGAGUGUCUAUUUUCCUCCUCAUGUUUCAAUCCGCUAGACGAAUCUAUAGUCUGGACAUAAUUUAUAUGAUAAAUAGAUAGCAAGGACAAGUUUGAAAAUGUUUGAAGUUGCAUCACAUUGACAAAGAGUGGUUCAGAACUUCAGAUGGAUAGAGAAACUUCAUGUCAUCUUAAUGGCAGUUUAGGGCGCGUUUGGUUGUGUUUCUGUUUAAAAAUUGUUCCAGGGAACAGAAAUAGAAAAAAGUAUUUCUGUUCCGGGGAACAAUUUUUGAACAAAAAUACGCGUUUGGUAAACUUGUUCCGAGAAUAAAAAAUAAACAGAAACAUGUUUGGUAAAUUUAGAUAAUCUUUUUAUUUCUUUUAUUUUUUCUAUUUUUUUUCUUUUUUUUCCUUUUUUUUCUUUUUUCUUUUUCAUUUUUUUUUUCUUCUUUUGGCCGGUCGCCGGCCGUGGCCGAGGCCGGCGACCCGGCCUUCGGCCAUGAAAGAAGAACAAGAAAAUAAAAGAAAAAAGAAAAAAAAAAGUGUUUCUGAUUUGUGUUCCAGAAACAAGAAACACGAAUUUUGUGUUUCUUGUUUCUGUUUCUUUUUUGUUCCUGGGAACAAAAGAACAAAAAAGGAACAGAAACGCACCCAAACGCGUUUCUGUUCUUUUUUUGUUCCCAGGAACAAAAAAACAGAAAAACUGUUUAAAAACAAAAAAAAGAAGUGCAAACAAACGGGGCCUUAGGUGCUUUAAAUCCUCUUUCCUGUUUUAGGUUGGAGACUCAAUUUGAACACAUUUACUGAGUUUGUGGAAUGUGCCUGACUAAUUUCCCUUAUAUCUCUUACUCUGAUAUGCGAAAAUUACUUUUAUAGCAUUCACCAGAAGUUGGAGGAACUCAGUAUUAACUCUCUGUCUGCAUUUACCAAUACAAAGUACUUAUUCCCACACAUGCAAUUCUCUCAUUUCUGAGCAUACUGUGAUGCACAUUGGAAUCUAUGGGGGAAACGGAUUUAUUGCACCUCAACCCUUCCAUCCAGCAUUUUACUCACCAUCCAAGAUUAGCCCUGGACUCUGUAGUGGCUAGUUGGCAAAGUUUAAAGGUGAGUAGAUUUGUUUCUGCUAUUUCUUUUUACUGGCUGUUUAAAAGCUGCUUAAAAGGUGGGUAAUAAUCAUGGGGCAUAAUCAGAACCUAAAAAGAAUUUCUUCUAAACGAUUUAAGUAUAUUGUCCGCAUAUCCAACAACUUGUCCGCACUUGUUCAUUUCUAGCAUUUUAUCAAAACGCAUAUCAAUGAUUCAAAACUUCUCGUGUUACAUGUUGUUUGUUAUCAUUCCCGGUUAUCCCAUUGACGUGAUUACGUCCACAUUCUGUUAUGUGUAAGGGAUUGGUUCUACGCAAGGGGAAUGUUAAGUUAUACUUUUUAUAUACAUUGCUUGGCAAGUUUUCUAAUAGAUUAAGCUUUUAAAAAAUGUAUUUGUCUAACAUGCAGCAAUCGAAUCAAACAACAUGACCAACAGCCAACCUAUGUUCUUGUCUGGUUUUUACUUCUAGUAAUUGUGGAAGACUUUCGGACAGGGAUUAUAAGCUUCUCAAAAAAUCAUCGAAUUACAACAAGAUUUAAAGCUUGCACUCAUAUGCCAACAAACUUCAACUUAUUAAAUCUGUUAUUCAUAGUGCGGUUAAGUAUUAGUGUCAACUCUUUUUGUUGCCCAAGAAAGAUUUUGAAAUGGUUGGCGAAAGUGUAGAGCUUUUCUUCAGAAGGGAGAUCCUUAUACUAAAGAGGGAGCAAAAGUCAGAUGGGACACUGUCUGUCCUCCUAAGAAGUUUCAAGGCCUUGGCAUUCAAAGACUGGAUUUGUGAAAUCUUGCUUGUAUUUUAAAGUGUCUGUAGAGUAUUUUAUUGAGGUGUGGUCUCUAUGUUUUUCUUGGCUCUAUAGCUAUUAUCUUGAUUGCAAACUAGAUGCUACUUAUGCUUUGAAGAAGUCAUUAAGAGUCGAGAAUAUUUUGAAGCCCCACAUUAGAUAUAUAGUCGGUAAUGGAGAUAAUAUUUCUCUUAAUUUGAUUUGUGACACCAUACUGGGAUCUCGUAGGAAUCAUUUCUCAAGGAGAAUAAUUUAUGAAUCUUCUCUUCCUCCGUAGGCCAAAGUAUCUGCUAUAAUUUAUAACUCAUUGGAAACAUUACGUUACUUUAAAAAGGGUGUUUUUAAUUUUUGCAGUAGCGAUUGGGCAAAACUAGGGGCUGUGAAAAAUGCCCCUUCCAUCAUCGUCUUCUUCUCCUUUGUUGUCUGCACCUAAGUCACCUAUGCUUCAUCUCUCUGCUGUCUCCAUCUCAUGAAGAUGUCAUUAAAAUCCAGUAUCAAUCUUGCCAUUUACUAUGCCUACUCUACUCUUCUACUCGUAGUUACUUCUCUUCUCAGAUUUGGCAUUGGUUCCCCUAUCCAUUGAAACACUUCGCAUAAUCUCUUCGAUCUAGCAAAAAUGAAAUAAAAACCUGUAAUGUUAUUAAUGGACUGUUGCAUUUAAAUUUGGAUUCUCAACUUAUUUCUGCAUUCUAUCAGUUUUCUGCACUCAUCCACUUCUUUUGUCAUCACUGUGCUCUGUCUCAUUUUCCAAGAUUCUCUAAAUCUUGCUUGCCUUUCAGAUUACAUUGGAAUUCCAUUGGUGAAGUUUGUUGGUACAACCCAGCAACCUAAAGAAAGGUCUAUAGACCCUUCCUUCACCAUCGCCUCACUGGUAUUAAGCCUAGGAGGAGAAAAUGCUGAAGGGGACCCUGGAUGUGAGAUUGCUCCUCAUUGUAGAGACAAAGGGAAAUGCCACUGCGGGCUCUGUUCUUAAGAUCUUGACUUUUGUGGAAACUUUUCCAUGAUUAGUUGGUUCUCAUAUUACUCAUGGAGAUAGGUAUGUGUAUAUGUUUCCUUUCCCCAUUCAGUAAGUGUAUGUUUGGCCCUGAUGUUAGAUGAAUCUAAAGUUUGGACAUAAUUUAUUUGGUAAGUUAAUAGCAAAGACAAGUUUAAAAAUGUUUGAAAGUUGCAUCUCCUUGAAAAAGUGUAGCUCAGAACUUCGGAUGCAUAGAGCAAGUUUGUGUCAUUUUAAUGGCAGUUAGGUGCUUUAAAUCUUCUUUCCUGUUUUAGUCUGAAAGCUCCAUUUGAACACAUUUACUAAGUUGUGGAAUGUACCUAAGUAGUUUCCCUUAUAUCUCUGAACUUGAUAUGCGGAAAUUACUUUUGCAGCAUUCACCAGAAGUGGAAGCAACUUGGUAUUAACUUUGUGUCUGCAUUUACCGAUACAAAGUACUUAUUCCCACACAUGCAAUCUUCUCAUUUCUGAGCAUACUGUGGUGCACGUCGAAAUCUAUGGGGGACUGAUUUAUUCCGCCUCAACCCUUCCAUUCCAGCAUUUUACACAGCAUCCGAGAUUAAGGAGUGGUUUAGUCGGUUUGAGUAUAGACACAAGUGAAGACAUUUUGUGUCCUGGAUAGCACUCAAUGAUAUCUUUGUCCAUUGUUCAUUCUGAUAACUAUUUAUGUUAUGCUUCAUGGAAUCAGAGAUGCAAGCCUUGCAAUCGCAGGUUGGCAAAGUUUAGAGGGUGGGUAUAUUUGUUUCUACUAUUUCUUUUCACAGGCUGUUUGAAAGACAUGGCUAAUGAUCAUGGGGUAUAAUCAGAAUCUGGAAAGAAUCUCUUCUGAAGGAUUAGCAAAUUGUCUGCAUUCUACUUGUUCAUUUCUAGCAUUGUAUCAAAGCAUGUCAAUGGUUUAAAAUUUCUCAUCUUUUAUGUUUUUUGUUAUCAUCCCCAGCUAUCUCAUUGACAUGAUUAUGUCCACAUUCUGUUGUGUGUCUUAAGGGAUCGGUUCUACGCAAGGGGACUGUUGAGUUAUACAUUAUAUGUACAUUUUUUUGGUCAAAUGCGUUAUAUACAUAUUGCUUAGCACCUUGCUUAACAGCUUACGGUGUUUUUAAAAAGGAAUUUGUCUAACAUGUGGCAAUCAAAUCAAACAGCUUGGCCAAUCAUAUGUUCUUGUUUGGUUCUUUCUUCUUGUAAUUGUGGAUUGUUUGGAAGACUUUCAGACAAGGAUUGUAAGCCUCUAUAAAAUUAUUGAAUUACAAAGAGAUAUUAAGCUUGGACAGUUAAAAGCCGCUCAUAUGCCGGCGAACUUCAGCUUAUUGUUUCUGUCUUUCAUAGUCUAUUUGUGUCCACUCUUUUUGUUUCCCCAGAAAGUUUUUGAAAUGGUUGAGCAAAAGUGUAGAGCUUUCCUUUGGAAUGGAGAUCCUUAUGCCAAAGAGGGAGCAAAGCUAGAUGGAACACUGUCUGUCCUAAGCAGCUUGGAGGACUUGGCAUUUGAAGAUCGGAUUUGUGAAAUCCUUUUGUAUUUUAAAUUGUCUGUGUAGUAUUUUGUUGAGUUGUGGUCUUAUGUGGUCUUAAGUGUUUUGCCUGGCUCUAUAGCUAUCAUCUUGACUGUAAACCAGAUGCUACUUAUGCUUGAAAGAAUUUAUUAAAAGUCAGGAACAUUUUGAAAUCCCACAUUAUACAAAUAGUGGAUAAUGGAGAUAAUAUUUCUCUUUGGUAUGAAUUCUGGCACCAUGCCGGAAUCAUUCUCGAGGAGAAUGAUUUAUGAAUCUUCUCCUCUUCUCUGCGGGUCAAAGGAUUGGCUGCAAUACAUAACUCUCAUUGGAAAUGCCUGCUGCUAGGUCUGAAGAGUUGGUUCCCAUACAAGCUGCAAUUUGUGGUGUGUUUUUCCUAGUUCCUAGCUGCAAAUAAAGUUGUUUUUUGCACAGCUUGUUCAAAUAGUUGCCUUUAACUUUUUUGUUGCAUGGGAAAUUGUCAGAAGCAAGGAUGCUGAUGUUGGCUGGGACAAACUUGGGUGGUUCUUCCCUAAUGUGCCCAGAUUUGGCUUCUUUUUUUUUGUUUGGGUUAGUAAUAUAUGAUAAACUUCCCGCUGUUAAGAGGAUUUGCAGUUGGUCUGUUGGGAGUACUAGAUCUCUCUCUCUCUCUCUUUCUGUGAUCUACACAUUGAAUAUUGCUCUCAUCUGUUUAUUGAGUGUCGCUUCUCCCAAAUCAAUUAUGGAGAAAGGUGCUGCAGCUUUGUUCGAUUCAUCUGACUCCUGGUUUUUACGAUUGUGAAUUCGGUUUAGAUGAAACAAGCUACUCAGGGAAAGAUUUUCAGAAGUGUCUAUCGCAGUUUAUAUGGAAACUACUGCAUUUUAUCUUGAAGUCCAUGUUGCCUUUUCAGGUGCCUCCUUGGAUGUUUAAUGAAAUCAAAAUUAUGAAGUUCUGUUAAGCAUAGUGUUGAGAAUUGCCUUGGUCUCAAAAUAAGAUUGGCACCAAUGAGCAUCAUAGGUUGUGUUGCUUGGAAUCUGACUCUGUAAAAACUAUUAGCUAGACUAAAGAUUUGUCUGACGUGGUGCUUAUUCUUGCUCUUUGGUGUGUAGAAUUGCAUGUUUUGCUGUGUCGUCUAUAUGCUUGUGAUACAGAUGUCAACUUCAACCCACUUGUUUGGGGUCCAAUUCUUUAUGAGGUCCAAUUUCUAUAUCAUUGGCCUUCGCAUUUCUUCAAAUAGUUCUUGAGGAAGGACCCCAGUCCAUGAAAGGGAGUUGCUACAAGAGUAAGAGAGUAAACACUUAUUUAACUGCGAGAUUCGAAGAGAGAUUUUACCACAUUCUACUCUUCUUCUUUUUUUAUCGGUUAAUGGUGAUUUUAUUUAGUUAUGUCGGCAUGAAAUUCAACUUCCGAAAUUCUGCUGUCUCUUGUAGAUAUUCGUCAUUUGGAUCACUUUUGCUCGGAAAUUUUUAAUGGGCACUAACUAUUCCACGGGACAUGAUUGGCACUAAUGUAGACAAAUUUUAAAAAAAUUGGAAAAUUUUUUAGUAAAUUUUCUUUUGUUUUUUUUUUUUUUUUUCCAAUUGUGGCUAAUGAAAGCUUGCGAGCUCUCACCGGGGGCAAUCUAAGUGUGAUUCCAACAAAUAUAACAUAUGAACUCAGCAAAAACACAUCUGAUUCAAUUCAGUUCCAUACAAGAGAUUCUUGUCAUAAUCUAGCAAUAUUCAAGAUCAAAUUUAUGUUGCUAGAACACUGUCUAAACCGAGGUAGAAAUGUACUGAAGUGCAUGGCUCCUAGAUUCAUUCUUAAUGCAAGACAAUAGGACUUAAGGAACGCCUAUACAUCAAGAACCGAUCAACAAACAUCCUUAAACAAUGAAGAAAUAGACGCAAUUGAAUUGCCAAUGAGCUUAUUUCAAUAACAAGAAGGUCUCAGUUGCCAACACAACAGGCAAUUAAACAUUGUAAUGCGCACGAGUUCGUUUCCAACGUUCAGGGGGACAAAGAGAGAACGAUAGUGGGGAGAGGGGGGCCGGUUCCAAUGAGGUGGACCGAGCUCAAUUCAGAUCUUUAUGGGUUUCACCAAGUUGGGCUUAACGGGUUGUAUUAUAACUUGAUGGGCCUAGUGUGGCCUGGGCUGCUCUUGUGGAUCGAUGGGUUGAGGUGAAUUGGGCCAGGUGCUUGACGGACUUGACUUGUGGUCGGACUGAGCUGGGCUGGAACAAGGUGAUCAUACCGGGCUAGAGUGAUGGGCUUUGAUGGACCUGGUGCUUCAUUAUGUUUAUUUUCUAUUCUAUUUUUUUCAUUUUUAUGUUUUCAUUAUUUAUUUAUCUUUAUAUUAUACAUAGUUUUACAAAAAAUGCAUGUUUGACUUGCCAUCGAAAAAUUAAGAUAUUAAUAGCACCGUGACGCAAAUGGACCUUUCCCAAAAUAUUACGAAUAAUCAAAUGAUAUAGUAUGAUAUUUAUCAAUCCAAAUUCAUAGGCUUGACAAGCGUCGAAAUACCAGAGACUUCGGCUCCUAUUGACCCCUCACCUGCGAAAUCGGUCGCAUCGUCUUGGCUUUUUGGGGGGGGGGGGUUUUGAAGCGUUUCCUGCCUUCGUUCGUUCCGUUGCUUUGGGGAUCCGGUUCAUCAGCAAUCGAAGAUCGAUUACGUGAUCGGGGAGCGCGGUCCGGGGAACUCUUGCCUGGAUCGUUCCGGACCUCCUGCUGCACCACCCGCAAUUAUCCGUAUUUCCGGGCUCGCAAGGCGAAGGUAAGGUAAAUAAAGCUACUUCGCGCUUUCCUUAUUUUUAACUCUUACUCGUCGCUUUCCGCGGGGUUCUCUUCUCAUCCACACAAGGUAAUUUCUUUAGUUCAAAAUUAGCCUUCGUCGGGGACGAGUCAGUCAGUAGUCAGCUGCAUUUCCUCGGUUAAACGCGGCUUGUAGAUUGAUCUCAAUAGCCUGAACGAGCGACGGUUUCUCUAAUUUUUGUCCUUAUUUUUUAUAGCUUCCGUUGAAUUCUAUAUUGGAUUAAUUGUUUCUAACCUUGUUCGUAGGACAUGGUGUUUGCUGCAACGUUUCAUGGGGCAUAGUCUAUAAACCCUUCCUUCACCGUCGCCUCGCCGGUAUCAAGUCUAGGAGGAGAAGAUGCUGAAGGGGGGGACUCUGGAUGUGAGAUUGCUCCUCAUUGUAGAGACGAAGGGGAGAUGCCACUGCAGGCUCUGCUGUUCUUAGCAUCUUUGACCUUUUGUGGAAAUUUCUUGCUAUGAUUAGAGUUGGUUAUCAAAUUACUCAUGGGGGAAUAGAGGUGUGUAUAUGUGUUCUCUUUCCCUGUUCAUUAAGUGUCUGUUUUUCCCCUGAUGUUGCAAUCCACUAGAUGUAACAGACAUAAUUAUUUAUAUGAUAAGUUAAUAGCAAAGACAAGUUUGAAAAUGUUUGAAGGUUGCAUCACAUCGAAAAAGUGUAGCUCAGAACUUCAGAUGGAUAGAGCAAGUUCAUGUCAUGAUAAUGGCGGUUAAGAUUCUUUAUAUCCUCUUUCCUGUUUUAGUCUGGAAACUCCAUUUGAACACAUUUACUAGAUUGUGGAAUGUGUACCCGACUAAUCUCCUUUACAUCUCUGAUUCUGAUAUGUGAAAAUUACUUUUGCAGCAUUCACCAGAAGUGGAAGGAACUCGGUACUGACACAAAGUACUUAUCCCCACACACGCAAUCUUCUCAUUUCUGAGCAUACUGUAACGCACAUCGAUAUCUAUGGGGGAAACAAAUUUAUUGCGCCUCAACCCUUCCAUUCCAGCAUUUUACUCACCAUCCAGGAUUAAGGAAUGGUUUAGUCGGUUUGAGUACCGACACAAAUGAAGGCGUUUCGUGUCCCAGAUAGCACUCAAUGAAAUCUUUUCCCAUUGUUCAUUUUGAUUACUAUUCAAAUUCUGCUUCGUGGAAUCAAAGAUGCAUAGACUAAAGUCACUGGUUGGCAAAGUUUAAAGGGUAGGAAAAUUUGUUUAUGCUAUUUCUUUUGUCAGGCUGUUUGAAAGACACUGGUAAUGAUCAUGGGGUAUAAUCAGAAUCUAGAAAGAAUCUUUUCUGAAGGAUUAGCAUAUUGUCUGUGUUCUCACUUUUUUUGUUAAAUUUCCAAUAGAUUGUCCACUUUCUACUUCUUCAUUUCUAACAUUGUACCAAAUCACAUGCAAUGGUCCAAAAUUUCUUGCCUUUUAUGUUGUUUGUUCUCCUGUUCCAUAGUUAUCACAUUGACAUAAUUACGUCCACAUUUUGUCAUAUGGUUGCUAUAACUCUUUCGUUGCUAAGGAAAUUGUCAGAAGCAAGAGUGCUAAUGUUGACGGGCACAAACUUGUGUGGUUCUUCCCUGAUGUGCCAAGAGCUGCCAUUUUUUUGGUCAGUAAUAUGUGAUAAAUUCCCCACUUUGAGAGGAUUUACAGUUGGUGUGUUGGGAGUACUAGAUCUCUCUGAUUGUUCUGUAAUAAAGCAUUGAAUCUUGCUCUCAUCUAUUUUUUGAGUUUAGUUUCUCUAAUCAAGUAUGUAGCAAGGGGCUGCAGCUUUGUUGGAUUCAUAGAACUCCUAGGAUUUGGGAUUACGAAUGUGGUUGGAUAAAACAAGCUGCUUAGGGAAAGAUUUUCAGUAGUGUUCAUUGGAGUUUAUAACCACUGUAUCUGCUAUAUCUUGAGUCCAUGAAUAGUUUGUAUCAUAUACAUGUGGUCCUUCGGAUGUUGGUGUAAUCAAAAUUAUCAAGCUCUUUGUUAUGCAUAGUUUUGAGAGUUGCCUUGGUCUCAAUAUAAGAUUAGCAUUGGUAAGCAUCAUAGGCCGUGUCUUGCUUGGAAUCUAAGUCUCUGAAAACUAUCCAGCUAAAGGAAGGUUUGUUUGGGGUUGUGCUUAUUGUUGUUUUUUGGUGUGUAGAGUUGCAUGUUUUGCCCUAUGUCAUCNNNNNNNNNNNNNNNNNNNNNNNNNNNNNNNNNNNNNNNNNNNNNNNNNNNNNNNNNNNNNNNNNNNNNNNNNNNNNNNNNNNNNNNNNNNNNNNNNNNNNNNNNNNNNNNNNNNNNNNNNNNNNNNNNNNNNNNNNNNNNNNNNNNNNNNNNNNNNNNNNNNNNNNNNNNNNNNNNNNNNNNNNNNNNNNNNNNNNNNNNNNNNNNNNNNNNNNNNNNNNNNNNNNNNNNNNNNNNNNNNNNNNNNNNNNNNNNNNNUACUUCUGAAUUCGACUUUUCGCUGUAAUACUUGGUCAUAAUAUUGUCAUCGUUUAAUGAGAAUUUAUUUGGAAUCAGCGAUGCCGGUAUGUUUGUGCUUACUAUCAUCUAAUAGAAAGCAAGUGUGCCGAUGAAAACCUCCCAAUGACCAGCCAACGUCUUUGACAAGAAAUUCCAACUUCGGAAGCAUUUUGCCAACUAUUUCCAAUCAGAAGUGGGGUUAUUUUGACUGGAAAAAAAAUCGUGGUUAUUAGAACAGCGUGGGUAACACGCCUCCUUUUUGGCUGCUACUUUCGAAAAACGACAAAAGGAGGAGGGGGCAUUACUAAGCCACGCCUCAAUUUUAGCUUGAUUCGUGAGAUGACAAAAAAUCCAAAUUUGUAUUGGCGUGAUACACACAUCAAAGUUUUGUCAAUGAAAAUCAUUAAAAUUUUGUCUCCAAAGAAGUCAGAAAACGAACAAUAUUUAAUAUGACGCCCAUGUGAGUCAAAUGAAGUAAACACAAUAUUAUUUUCACUGAAAAAUUAUUUGACGACACCUUGAUGGAAAGUAAAUAUGUCACAUGCAAGAAAAAAUUAAGGUAAAUGCAUCAUGAUGAUAUAGUUUGGGAUUUUUAAUAUCUUAACAAAAGUUCAUGAUAUAUAUAUUAUAAUGGGCAUAGUUUGAGUUUUUUUAGACUUUUUUUUUCUUAAAUUUUGAAAAAGGACAAUGAGACAUUACCUGUAGUGGAUUGGGGGCACCUCAUAUAAAGCCUUUGAUGCUUAUGGCUUGUCGGGUAAUACUCCCAGAAACAACUAAUUUUAUUUUUUUUCUCCCAUGAGCAAAAAAUAAUAAUAAUAAUAGAAAUUGGUUUGGUAAAUUUUUUAUUCCCAAAAACGAAAAUUCGUUUUUUUUCCCAGGAGUAGAUUUGGAUCAAAAUCAAGAAAUAUUAGAAAAUUUCUUAUUGUUCCCGGGAACAAUUCCUAGAAUCAAGUCUAAUUUCUUUUCUUUUCUUUUCUCUUCUCUUUUCUUCUCUUUUCUUUUCUUUUUCUUCCUUUUGGCUAGUCAUUAGCCUUGGCCAUGGUCGGCGAUGCUGAGCCAUGAUAAGACUUGUCAACCCAAGCCUCAACUAGCCAUGUCGAGGCUUGACCUUGCUAGCUGACAAGAGGCUGAGCCUCACCAAGCCUUCACGAGGCUCGUGGUGGCCAGGUGAGCCUUCAGUGAGCUUGUUUGGCCUCGCCCAACCGAUCAUUGGCCACGGGCAUAGCCGACGACCGGCUAGAAAGAAGGAGGAAGAAGAAGAAAAAAUGAGGGGAAAAAUUAGAAGAAAAGAAAAAUAUAAUAAAAGUAUUAAAAAUUAAAAGAAAAAAAUUAAAAAUCUUAUCAAAUGCAUUUCUAUUUUGGAAUAAAAUUUUUGGAUAACUACCAAACGCUUUAAAAAAUUCAGAAAUUGUUCUCGAAAACAAAAUAAUAAAAAAUCAUUUCCAAGCAAAAAUUAUUUUUAGAAAUAGAAUGGUUACUAAGGGCCUGUUUGUUAAUGUUCUUUAUUUCUGUUCAUGAACAAAAUUCAUGUUUUUUUGUUCCCAGGAACACAUUUGGAACAGAAACAAGAAACAAGAAAAACGUGUUUCUUGUUUCUGGAAAGAUUUUUAAGAACAAAUUUUCUCUCUCCUCUCUUUUUCUUCUCUUUUUUUUUCUUUUUCUUUUUUCUUUGGCCGGUCGCUGGCCUCAGCCAUGGCCGGCGAUCGGCCGUCGAGGGUCGGCGACCUCGCCAGAGCGUCGCCGACGUGGGGCAAGGCUAGGCGAGCUCGAGCUCGCCCAGCCAAGGCGAGGCUGCUGGCCCUCGUCGGCCGGUCGCCGACCAUGGCCGAGGCUGGCAACCAGCCAAAAGAAGAAAAAUAAAAAAGAAAGAAAAAUAAGAAAAAUAAAAUAAAAAUAUUAAAAAAUUAAAAGAAACAAAAAAAAGAACAUAAAUUUACCAAACAUGUUUCUGUUCAUUUUUUAUUCCUGGAACAAGUUUACCAAACACCUUCUUCUGUUCAAAAAUUGUUCCCGGGAGCAGAAAUAGUUUUUUCUAUUUAUGUUCUCUAAAACAAUUUUUGAACAGAAACGUUACCAAACGCGCCCUAAAUAUGCCCUUAAUGUCCAAAUAAAACACUUGAUAGACAUGGGGAGACAUGAAAAAGUGAAGAUGGUUCUAACUUCAAAAAAGUUUAUCUAGUUAAAUGUCGCAUGGCAAUGCAGAAUGUGUUACAUUUUUAAGUGCAAAUGAUUUGUGAUAUUAGUAUCGCAUUCGAAAAACAAAUAGCAAAAGGAGAUACAUACGUUAUUGUCCUUGAAGGACAUGUAGUGGACUAUCGACCUUAUUCAUGUUCAAAAAAAAAAAAAGAGGUGAAUAUGUAAGACAUGAAAAGACCAAAAUGAUCUUAAAAAGUUCAUACAAAAUUUCUUGACAAGAAUAGUAUCAUUGUCAUGAUUAUUGUAAAAUACUCAUUUGGGGCCACAAAUUUUCAAAUGAUCAUUUAAGUAACACAAUUUUUAUGGGGCGACCACCUAAGCCACCUUCCUGAACUCACUAUGUAAACUGCCUUACUUCUAUGGUUGUAUUUGGUUUUCUUAAUAACCUAAUGUUCAAUAGAAUAGCAUUUGAUGGAAGUGAAAAUUUGAAUAUUCUUAUGUUCAAUUUCGUGUUUGAAUGAUGAUGGAUCUUGCUAUGUGCUUUCUAAUGUUUGGAACAUGAUAAUUAUGUUCGUGUCUAGACUACUUGAGCUAUGGAAAAUAUGGAUUAGAGUAUCAAAUUGAUCGGUAGUUACGACGGUGAGUUGAUUUGUCAGAGCAUUAUCAAUGAUAUCAGCUAGCUCUCUCCAUUUAAGAGAUAACUAAGCUAGAUAUUAUUAGAACGGUCAACUAGCAUGAUGCACAAAGGAUACAACAUACUAUACAUGGACCUCUAAACAAUAGGAUCAUAUGCAACAAUUAAAAGAAGUUUGAAACAUCGAGAAAAUUCUCCGAUUUAAUAAAUACUAUUUAUUGGAGAAACGCGACGACCAGGUUACUCUCAAUCCUGGCCUUUCCUGAAGCAUAGUAGAGCAGAGACCAAGGGCUGAGGCCAAAGCGUAGCAUCAAUGGCUAACUUGCGAUCACCUUUUUCAUUGACGAUGCUUGAGAGUUGCGGGCCCUCGUGUGAGGUUGCCGGGAUGAAGGACGGCCUCCGCUUCAGUUUUGUCCUGAGUGACAAAGGGUCAAACGCUCGGAGUUGGGAAUUUUAGUUGGGGACUAAUUAGUGGACUUUGACUGACAGUUAAAGUAAUGGAAAAAAAUCUCGCCUGUUUUCCUACAAAAUGAAGCUUGAGGAUUUGCAAUUUUGAUUCGAUCUACAGCCACUCAUUUUCCCCCCUAAUGUUCCGAUAAUGUAUCCUUGAGAGAGCAACUAUCUGCAGCAACGACAGAAAUGAAGACAAAGUAACAAUUUCUCUGGCCAUCAUUUGAAAAGAUUUUGUUACAAGCAAGUGCUUCAAAACACUUGUUAAGCAAUCAAUUUGGGAGAUUUUGCACUUUCCAAUGCAUUGAGUUCUCAUGUUAUGUGAAAUAAAUACUUAAAAAAUUUAUUUUGAAAUUACAUAUGCUUAGCAAGUACCCCAAGAUGCUUGCUAACAUUGGAAAAAUUUACUCCGACCCUCUAUCACCAUAUAUUGGAUAUAAGCAAUUAUUUAGUGAAAUCUAGUACACAUAUUAAAUUGGAUUUGGGUUGUCAAACCUUGUAAGACUCACGUGUGUCAACCUUUAUUAAAGGUUCGAAUUCAUUUCUACGUAUAUUAGGUAGAUGCAACAAUUUAUAUUUGGACCAAUCAAAUUAUACGGAUUGUUGCCUCAAAGUCCACUUUUCAUCUUGAUCGGAUUUAAGCGAUGCACAUCAAGACAAAAGCCAUCUCGAUCUAACUAGAAUACUUCAGAACUUAAAAGUCUUCGAUUCACACCAUCAUUUGAUGUUGUUCUCCCGGGCAUAAUAACCGUCUCUUGUUCACACCUUUUAUUAUGCAUCAGUACACUUUGCUUCAAACCAUCUAGGCACUCUUAUUCAAUCCUUUGACACUCAGAACCAAGCCAUGCCCAUCGCAGAACUCUUUCUUGGUGCCUUUCUUCAGGUGCUGUUUGAUAGGUUGGCCUCUCACAAUCUGCUCAACUUUGCACGGCACGAGGGGAUUGAUACACGGUUGAAGAAAUGGGAAAAGAUGCUGAUCGAAAUCCACGAGGUGCUGGAUGAUGCAGAGGACAGGCAACUGAGCGGACAUCUCGGAGUGAAGUCAUGGCUUGAAGAUCUUAGGAACUUGGCCUAUGACAUCGAAGACUUACUUGAUGAGUUCGCCACAAAAUCCAUUGAAAGCAGGUUUAAGGCAGAAUCCAGCACUAAAAAGGUGAGUUCCCUUCUUCCGAGUUGUUGCUUCAGAUUGAGCCCAAGAGCGUUUAUGCUUGACCACAAAAUGAGAUCCAAUAUAGAAGAUAUGGAUGACAGAUUACGGGAUAUCAUAACUCGGAAAGAUAGUCUUAGCUUGAGAGAAAAUAAUGGGCAGCGAUCAGCACAUGGCCCACUGGAUAAGCCCCUACCCACUACACAUUUGCCCGAGCCUUGUUUCGUUAGUAGGGAGGUAGAAAAAAUGGAGAUAAUCAGAUUACUAAUCACAGAAGAACAUGAUAGAACGUAUGCAGAUAUAAAUGUGAUUCCCAUAGUAGGGAUGGGGGGUGUUGGAAAGACAGCUCUAGCCCAACAAGUCUACAAUGAUGCUAGAGUCACCAACUAUUUUGAGGUGAAAGCAUGGGUUUGUGUUUCUGAUGAGUUCGAUGUGCUUGCUGUUACAAAGAGAAUCUUUGAGGCAACCAAUGACCAUUCAUCUUGUGAAUGUAAGGACUUGAAUUGGCUUCAAGAUAAGCUCAAGGACAACCUUUUUGGGAAGAAGUUUCUUGUCGUGUUAGAUGAUGUUUGGAACGAGAAAUAUGGAAAGUGGACUACCCUCUUGAAGCCUCUUCAAUCGGGAGCAAAGGAAAGCAAGAUCAUCAUCACGACUCGUAACCUCCAUGUUGCUUCAAUAGCUGGUGCUCCCCCGAAAAUUCUUAAAGAGUUGUCACUAGAUGCUUCUAUGACUUUGUUCACAUUUCAUGCUCUAGGAGUCAGAAAUUUCGAUCGUCAUCCCGAUCUUCAUGAAUUAGGUCAGAAGAUAGUGGAAAAAUGCAAAGGAUUGCCAUUAGCCGUGAAGACAUUAGCUGGGAUAUUACGCACUGAAGUUAGUCCCCAUAAAUGGAGAACUAUAUUGAACACCAAAAUUUGGGACCUACCGGAAGAAAGAAAUGAGGUCCUUCCAGCUUUGAAACUUAGCUAUCUUAAUCUCCCUUCCAAGCUGAGAAGAUGUUUUGCUUACUGUGCUAUAUUUCCCAAGGAUUAUGAAAUCAAACGAGAUGAGUUGAUUCACUGGUGGAUUGCAGAGGGCUUGGUGAAGGCAAAAGAAGGAAAAAACUGUUGGAAUGAAGGUUUGGAUUAUUUCAAUGAGCUAGUAUCUAGAUCAUUAUUUCAAAAGUCAAGCAACAAUGGAUCACGAUUCUUGAUGCAUGAUCUUGUGAAUGACUUGGCAAAGCUAGUUGCGGGUGUAACCUAUUUUAGCUUAGGGGAGUUGGAGUUUGAGGGUGACCAAAACAAUUCAUCUUUAGCUCGUCACGCCUCAUUCAUUCCCAGCGAUCUUGUUGUGUCGGAAAGAUUGAAGAUAUAUCAUGGAAUGGAGGGACUUAGGAGCUUCAUAUCAUUAGAGAAGCAAUAUUGUACUUCCUUUGUGUCCCAGAAAGUGCUAUGUGACUUGUUGUCGGGAUUGAAGUACUUGAGGGUGCUUUCAUUAAGUCACUAUAACAUUAGAGAGGUACCGGAUUGCAUCGACAAACUAAUGCACCUAAGGCAUCUCAAUCUAUCGUACACUGAUAUUGAAAGGCUUCCAAAGUCAAUUGUCACAUUGUACAACCUAGAGGCUUUGAUGUUGCGUAGUUGUCAAUACCUUAUUGAAUUACCUAACAGUAUGGAGAAACUUGUCAAUUUAAGAUUUCUUGACAUCACCAACACUUGGAGCCUAAGAGCAAUGCCGUUGUAUAUAGGUAAUUUGGUUGGUCUUGAGAUGUUGUCUAAGUUUGUAGUGGGAACAGAAAAUGGGUCGAGGUUGAAGGAGUUAAAAAACCUAAAGAACCUUGGCGGGGAAUUGUGUAUCUUUAAUUUGCAUAAGGUUCGAGAAGCUGAAGAUGCCAAGGAUGCUAACUUACCCCAGAAGGAGGGAAUAUGCCGGUUGACCAUGCAAUGGAGUGAAGAUUUUGAAAAUUUCUGGAAUGAAGAGCUUGAAGCAAAGGUCCUCGACUUUCUUCACCCUCACCAAAACCUCAAAAGUCUCACAAUAUCCUACUACAGUGGCCUAGAAUUCCCGUCAUGGUUAGGAAGUCCCUCAUAUGUUAACAUAGUUCAUUUGUAUUUACAUGACUGUCGUAGGGCCAAGGCAUUACCAUCACUUGGGCAGCUAUCUUCGCUAAAAGAAGUGUACAUCAAAAGUCUAAAUGCAAUAUGCACCGUAGGGCCUAAAUUUUAUGGAACUAAAAGUCCUUUUCCAUCCUUAAUAACAUUAAAAUUUGAGGACAUACCUUUAUGGGAGGACUGGUCUCAUUGCAUUGGUACCGAAGUAGAAGUUUUCUUCCCUCGUCUCGAGCAUCUCAUCAUUCGGGAUUGUCCUCUGUUGAUCGGAAAAUUGCCUAGUCAACUAAGUUCCCUUAUAAAGCUCAAAAUUAAGUCAUGUUCGCGUAUGGAUACCUCGUCCUCUAUCAUUAGCCUUCCAUCCCUCAAUGAUUUAUACUUUGGAAGUUGUAAUGAGGGAUUGCUAAAGAGUUUGGUUAACCUAACAUCUCUUACUGCUCUUGUCAUAGAAGAUGUGGCUGAAUUGACUUGCUUAAAUCAUGAGUUUACAAGCUCCUUGAUCAAGCUGGAGAAGUUGGAGAUUAGUAGUUGUGAAAAGUUGAUACACUUAUGGCAAGAUAGAGACGUAACUCGAAAUCUCGUUUCUCUGAAGAGCUUACUUGUCAAUAGUUGUCCUAGGUUGAUAUCUUUUGUGGCUAAAGAAGGAGAUGUAGAGCUGCCCGGCAACCUUGAGACUAUCGAUUUGAGGAAUUGCUUCAAUUUAGAGACCCUCCCAAGCAAGAUGCACGUCCUCUCCUCUCUUAAGGGCUUGGCCAUUAAAAAGUGUCCAAAACUUGUUUCCUUCCCUGAUACAGGUAUACCGACAUCAUUGAUGUCAUUAGAUAUAAAUCAUUGCAAGAUGUUGCAAUUUUUACCUAGAGGAUUAAGUAUUCAACUGGAUGAACUAAGCAGCAAUAGUAGCGGUAAUCACAGUGGCAUGAUGCCUUGUCUGCAAGAGUUGAGGAUCUUUGGAUGUGAUUCUCUGCCAACCUCUCCAUUUGGCAAGGGUAGAUUUUCACUUGGGUCCCUUAGGAGACUAACUAUUGGAAAUUGCAAGGAAGUGGAGUCGCUCAUGGAGAUAAACCUAGACCAUCUUCCUUCACUUGAGGUGACCAAAAUUUUGGAUUGCAAGAAUUUGAGAAGCUUACCCCAGGGCUUGCACACGCUAUCCCAUCUCACUUCCUUGGUAUUGGACAGAUGUCCUGCUCUAGAGCUCCAGUGCUUCCCUCCUCUUCCUCCCAGCAUCUCGAGCUUGUGCUUUUCUUGGUGUCCAAAAAUAAAAUCCUUACCUAAUCAAUUGCACCAACUUACAUACCUCCGUGUUCUAAUAAUUUCAUGGUGUGAGAGUAUUACAAGCUUUCCCCAUGGAGGAUUACCACCCCAGUUACAGACACUUAGGAUAUGGGGAUGCAGGAAUAUGAAACAGCCAGUAAGGGAGUGGCUCACCCCCCUCACCUCCCUUCAAUAUCUCAGGAUCGACGGUAGCGUUGGAAGAGUGGGGGAGGAGAAGGAUCUUCUGCUUCCGCUCCCUCCUUCUCUGCUCCAUCUUGAAAUUAAAGAUAUGCUGAACGUGGAAAGACUGUCCAGCAAACUCCCUCCCUCUCUUCAGACCUUAUUGAUCUAUGAUUGCCCGAAGCUGAGGGAAUUGCCCCAGGAUGGCCUCCCUCCCACCCUAGGAGAACUCUGGAUUGAAAGAUGUAGGAUUCUCAAGGAGCGAUGCUCGACACUAACCGGCUGCUAUUGGCACCUCAUCCGUGAAAUCCCGCAAGUCACAUCCAGGUACUUUGAAUCGACUUUUGAAUCUAAGUCGAUUAAAUAAAAGGGCUUUUUGGACCCAAAAAUUUUGUGUAUAUAGGCCAAGGCUAUUUCCACAGCUAAAAUAACUGCUGCCACAACCAUUUAAUCUAAACAGACAAUAAUACUCUUCACUUUACACAAAACAUGGCCUCUUCUCUUUCGGCAUUUUCAGCUCCUCUUUCCCCCAUACUCCCAUCCAUCCCACUUUACAAAUCUUGCUGAUGCAUAGAGGAUUGGCAUAUUUUCACCUCGAUUUAGUUUUUCAUUAAUUCCUCAAAAAUCAAAGAGACGUGCUGCAAUCAAAUAUCCGUAACGGCGAAGAAAACCAAAGCACUAUUCUUCUUGAGGGAUUGUACUCAUGUUGUGAAUUGCUGGGACAAGUAUAAAUCUACCAAGGCAGAUUAAUUGGUGUGUGGGUGGGACUUGUCGUCUCUUUUUCUCUUUUUGUCGAGCCUAUGACGAUGAGAUUUAAGUGCUAGAUCGUUCAUCAGGCUAGGAAGUGAUGCAAUGCGUGGUUAUUUUCCAAAUUUAAAAUGCAGAGUUUCUCUUUUCGAUCAGGUGAUGAUCUUCAACUGCUUUCUUGCUAUUCUUCUUGCUGUCACUUUGAAGGACGAGAGUUUAUGGUUAUGGAGUAUGAUUGGAAUUUAGAACAGGAUCCGUUCUGAAGGGUUGUUAAAUUCUAACAUUCACCCUCCGUUGCUUUGCAGAUAAGAUUUGUCAACUCCAUCAGAAUAACCUGUGAGCUACAGCUUCUCGUUUCUAUUCUCUGCUUAGUAGCUGUGAUUGCGGUAGGUGCAAUGAUCUUUCUACAGUUCAUGCGGUGAUGGCAUUGGAAUUGUUUGAAUGCCUUCUUCCAAGUCAUCCUCGCCCCUUGAAUCAGGACGUGCAUUUGCUCCCAAGAAGACUUCCAUGCCUCGAUUCAUAUCAUCAAACUCGGGUAUGAUCUUGCCAUUUACUAACUCCUACUCUUUAACUCUUCUACUCGUAGUCAUUUCUCUACUCAGAUUCGUCAUCAGUUCCCCCGUCAUUUGAAAUGCUUCGUCAGAUGUCAACACACCAGGGAAAAUGCCAAUAUAUCUGGGAUGUCAUUAACGGAGUGUCUCGUUGGAAUUUGGAUUUCUCAGCUUAGUUUUGCAUUCUAGCUGUUUGUUGCAUUCCCUCAUCCCACUCUUUUGUCAAUGUUUUCCUCUGUCUCGUUCACCAAGAUUCUCUCAAUCUUGCUUCCCCUGCAGAUCGCAUUGGAAUUCCAUUGGUGAAGUUUGUGGGUACGACCCAGUUACCCAUGUAAAGGUCUAUAUAGCUCUCCUUCACCGUUGCCUCACCAGUAUUGAGUCUAGGAGAAGAUGCUAAGGGGGACAUCCGACCAUGCCACUGCGGCCUUUCUCGUUAAGAUCUUGACUUUUGUGGAAACUUUUCCAUGAUUAGUUGGUUCGUGAAUUUCUCAAGAGGAUAGGUAUGCAUAUCUCCUCUUUUCCCAUUCAACAAGUGCCUGUUUUUCCUCGAUGUGCAAUCCACUAGAUGAGUCUGAGUCUGGACAUAAUUUACACGAUACCCAAAUAGCAAAGACAAGCUUGAAAAGCCGCAUCACAUCUAGAAACUGUAGUUAAGAACUUCAGAUUGAUAGAGCAAACUCAUGCCAUGUUAAUGGCCAUUAGGUGCUUUGAAUUGUCUUUCCUGUUUUAGACUGGAAACUUCAACACAUUUACUAAGCGUGAAAAGUGCCCGAUUACUCUUUUUAUAUCUAGAAUUCUGAUAUGGAAAAAUCACUUUUGCAGCAUUCACCAGAAGUGGAAGAAACUCUGUAUUGACUUUUGGUCGGCAUUUACAGAUACAAUGUACAUAUUCCCACAAACGUGAUCUUCAUUUCUGAGCACACUCUGCGGUACAUCGAAAUAUAUGUAGGAAAUGGAUUAUUGUGCCUCAACCCUCAUUCCAUCAUUUUACUCACCAUCCAAGAUUAAAGAAUGGUUUAGUUGGUUUGAGUACAGACAUAAAUGAAGGCUUUUCGUAUCCUAGAUAGGAAUCAAUGAAAUAUUUGCUCGUUUCGAUAACUAUCCAUGUUCCGCUUCACGGAAUCAGAGAAACAUCGCCCUGCAGUCGCUGGUUGGCUAAGUUUAAAGGGUGGGUAAAUUUGUUUCUGCUAUAUUUUUCGACAGGAUGUUCAAAAGACAUGGCUAAUGGUCAUGGGUAUAAUCAGAAUCUAGAAAGAAUCUCUUUUGAAGGAUUAGCAAAUUGCCCGCAUUUUCCAACAAAUUGUCCACAUCCUAUUUGUUCAUUUCUAGCAUGGAAUCAAAGCACGUGUCAAUGGUUCAAAAUAAGAGUGGCGCUGUGCUGGAUCAUUUCUCAAGGAGGAUAACUUAUGACUCUUCUCUUCCUCUGCAGGCCAAAGCAUCUGCUGUAAUUCUUAAUUGAGAAAGCAUUAGUUUCUACUUGAGUUUGGAAAAGUUGCCUCCAUAUUUGCAUGUGUUUAGAAGUGACCCGAUUUGAUCCGGAGUAGCAAGAACAGAAUACACGUAUUAAUGCCCGUCACCAAAGUCCUUUCUUGAUUUUCGGAGUAAACCAUGUCUGAAUUCAACAUUUCCAGAUACGGGUCGGCUUUUGCGGGAACUUAGGUGAGGCCACUGGAGUACUUUAUUUUUAGGCUUUGUUGCCACUGGUAGGAAAGGCAGUUUAUGAUUCUUGCCAUUCUCAGACGGCAGGCUUAUGAGCUGUUCUAACUUUCUAAUGAGCCUCUCUCCAACAUUUUCUUUAGCAUUGAAAUUUGACGGUUGAAUUUUGUAAGUGCGGCAGCCAUUAGUCAGAUUUCAUGGUCGCCUGAACUCACAAUCGCUGCGGGGGAUAAUGGCGAGCGACUCCCCUGUUCACGGCUCCGCUUUCCCUCCGGUUUCAGCUUCUUCCUAAUCAUUUCCUCUGCAUUGCGUGCUUCCCAGGGAAAAUUCGACGGACAGAUAAUUGGCGAUGAAGCAAGAAAUAAUUGAUCAGAAACUGAGAUGUUCGGACAUUAGGAGUCUCGAUCGUCCACGCUGGUGGUGAGAAUCCAAGUUUCGAUGUGCUGAAUCCAACUUUGCCCGUUCCUGACUCACUGAGUCUGAGGACUGUUUGAAAAGCAGCGAGGAAGAUGAAAUCGCUUCUGAAUUCUUCUUCACCUCCGAGGUAUCCUGCGAAGAUCCUCCUGCGAGCUGGAGAGCUGGUGACGGGGCCUUUUGGGAGCUGCUAUGGAGGAAGAGUGAGUGAUCUCUAAGCUUGACCGAAUCAUUCGUGAGAACUCUGUCAAUGCUGGUGUCGAACUCGCCAGACGCAUAAGUGCACGUUGGAUUUUUCGAUAAAAAAUUGAGGUGUCAACAACAAUCAAUGCUUCCAUCCGUUUAGAUACGAAUUCCACCGUGACAAUGAAUAUUUUCAAUCAGUUACUGCCAUAACUAUACGUGGCCGACUUAUUGAUUUUGAUUCGAAAAGCCUUCAGGUCAAAGCAGGCUGAAUAAAUGUUCUAGGAUGAGCUAACAACAGCUAAAUCAUCUCGAUCCAACCUAAUUUCAUGGAGUUCAUGACAAGGUAGGUGGGAUUGGUUAAUAAUGGCAAAUCUAAAAGUAAGACCACCAAAAACGGAAUGAUGUGCACAAGUUAAAGAAUCAGAACAGUAUCCUAAUCCGUUUCAACACUAAUCAUUUCGCUGAUAUGAUAAGCUAAAAGCAUCUCAGACUUCACGUGCUGAUAGAUACAUAUUUCGCUCAUAACGCAUGCUCACUUUAUGAUAAAAUCCCAUUAACACAAGGAUUUAAUUCUCCAACUUUCACGGCAGGUCCGCAUGAGAUCUAGCUUUCUCCAGUUUUCGAUUGCCUGCACAUGACCUUUAUAUAGCCUUUUUAUACUUUCUCUAAACUUAAAGAAAAGACAGCCCCUGCACUUACGAAUAAGCAAAACCAUCACAUUUCAACCUCUCCCUGUGCUAUGGUGCUUAUCUUCCAUAAGCAAUAAUCUUCCUUCAAAUUCUGCAAUUUUUCAUCGUAAUCCUCCUUCCUCCUUCCUCUUCUUCAUAUCAUUCACUGAUGCUCUAUGGACGACAGCAAACCAUUGGACAAAACUCGUCAUCCUAUGAGCUCAUACCACAAAUCAUUACCCAUACAAAGACCUCCCUUUGCAAACCUGAUUCAGCAGUUCUAGGCCAGGUAAGUAUACAACACAUGCUUCACAUUUAAUAAGUCUGAGAAUAUGAGGCAAAAAGAAAAAAAGAAAGGAGAACUUGAAUCAUCAAUAUCAUAUUCCUGUGCCUAACCUAUUAGCGACCAAUUUUGGCGGAAAAUCUUUGUCAUGGACACUGACUGUCCUACAUGGCAAUUGUCACGUCGGUGAUUUCUAGCCAAAAUUAGCUAGAAUGAGUAUAUUGAUAAGUUGUCAAAAGGUUUAUGACUAAAAUUGCAAAUCAAUAAAAGGUUUAUAACUGAAUUGACAAAAUCAAAAUAUUUAAGAUUGAAUUGACCAUCGUACAGUAGGUUUAAAAUCUUUUGGACAAUUAUCUUGAAUCAAAAACGUAUAUUACUCCCUACAUUAUACAAUUUUUCUUGAAUAGAUAAUAUCUUUUGUUAAGUUGAAUUUUCUCAUAUUUCCCAGGAAAGACUAAGGCUUUGUUUCUUUCAUGAAAAACAAUUUUUCGGAAAACAUUUUCCUGAUUUUCCGGUGUUUAUUUCACAAAAAACGAACUAGUUAUAGCAAACAUUUUUCACAAAGGAAAACAAGUCUUCUAAAAGAGGACAAAAUGUUUUCCACUUUUUAAAUUAGGGAAAACAUUUUCCUUACUCAAUCUUGUCUCAUGCUCUAUUAGCCCCGCUUCCUUUUUUUUUUUUUUAAAUUUGAAUUUUAAAUCUUUUUUCUUUUUCUUCUUUUUCCUCUUUUUCUUUUCGUUUUCCUUUUUUUUUUCCACCUUCUUCUGUAGUUGAUCAUUGACAUGGCUAUGGCCGGUGAUCGGCCACAAGCGAGCCUUAGGCCUCACCUGGCUCACCCUCACACUUGUCGAUCUCUAGCCUGCACUGGCGAGGUCAGAGGCUAGAGAGCUCGAGGCUUGCCCUCACAUUCGCCUAUCUCUAGCGAGCUCGUGGCAAGCUUGAGGUUCCUGCUCACUAGAUCCACGAGCCAAUGACGAGCAUGAACCUCUAGCUCACUACUCACCAAAUUAGUGAGCCAGCAGCAAGCGUGAGCCUUUAGCUUAGCCUAAGGUCGGCAAGCUAGCAGAAGCUUGGCUUUGGUCGGUUGCCGACAAUAGUUGUGGCUAGCAACUAGCCAAAGAAGAAGAAGACAAAAAGAAAGGAAAGGAAAGAAAAAAAAUAAAAAAAGAUAAUUAAAAUUUGUUUUUAAAAAAUAAUUAAAAUUUUGAUUUUUAAAAAUAAUAAUAAUAUCAUAGUUAUUGAAAAAAAAAUUGCAUAGAGAAAAAAAAUUUCCUUACUGAACAAUGAAAUAAUAUUUUCCAUUUCAUUUUCAAGUUUUAGCUGAAUACUGAAAAAUAAUUACAUUUUUCUAGAAAAUAUUUUUUCAGAAAUGCUAUAUUUUCAAGGAAACAAAUGGAGCCAAUUUACAAUAUAAUUUGUCUCGCUUUUUCAGCUGUGGAUCUUCAUUUGUCAGUGUGAAGUGUAUAAUCCCUAUAUAUUUGAAGUCAUCACUUAGCAAAGAUUCCUAUAACUUUUUAGUUCUUAAAUUCAAUUAAAAUUUUCAUUUUCAUUAUGCAAAUUGUGCAUGACAUUUUGCCAAAAAACAUAAUGCACAUAUGACAUAUAAACCUAUUAUAUGAAUGCCAAUUUAGUUAUAAACCUUUUAAUUUACUCAUUUAGUUCUAAACCUUUUGACGAUUUGUCAAUCUAGUCCUUCCGGCCAAUUUUGGUAAAAAAUAAUUAACAUGAAUACUAGUCAUUCUAUAUAACACAGUUGGCGUUGAUGAAAGCAAUUUUUGCAAUUAGAAAAGUUUGAAAUUUUUAUAAAUUUUCUUUGCUCUUUCCAUUUCUUUUUUUUUUCAUUGUGGUCGGCGAUAGCCACUAGGUGAAGGCUUGCAAGCUCUCACCAGUUGCCCCGAGGGGGGGGGGGGGAGCAAGGCGACCGCAAUGAAAAAAUAAGAAAAUAAAAAAUAUUAAAAAUUUCAGAUUUUUUUUUUUAAAUUUACAAAAAUUGUCUAUGUUAAUGCCGAUUAUGUCACGUAGGAUGAUAGACAUCCCUAUUAGAGAUUUUUAAUCAAAAUUGGCUAAAAUGAUCACAUUGGCAAAUUGUUAAAAUGUUUAGAAAUAAUCUUAUCAAAUUCAAAUUAAAAGGUUUAAGGCUGAAUUGACAUUCGUACAAUUAAAAAAGUUUGAAAUUUUUAUAAAUUUUCUUUGCUUUUUCCAUUUCUUUUUUUUUUUCAUUGUGGUCGGCGAUAGCCACUAGGUGAAGGCUUGCAAGCUCUCACCAGCUGCCCUGAGGGGGGGGGGGGGGGGGAGCAAGGCGACCGCAAUGAAAAAAAUAAGAAAAUAAGAAAAUAAAAAAUAUUAAAAAUUUCAGAAUUUUUUUUAAAAAUUUACAAAAAUUGUCUAUGUUAACGCCGGCUAUGUCACGUAGGAUGAUAGACAUCCCUAUUAGAGUUUUUUACUCAAAAUUGGCUAAAAUGAUCACAUUGGCAAAUUAUUAAAAUGUUUAGAAAUAAUCUUAUCAAAUUCAAAUUAAAAGGUUUAAGGCUGAAUUGACAUUCGUACAAUAAGUAUAAAACUUUUUUGACAAUUAUCACCCUGGAAAUUGUGCAUGACACUCUACAAGUUAAUCUUAGUUCAAGGCAUGAAAUCUAAAAUUUAUAUAAAAAGUUGGCUUUGCAUCAAGUUUUCUUUCCAAUAGGUGUUUAGUAUUGUGCAAAUGAUUAGAUUAUGUAUAUUAUUAUUCUUUUAACGUCCUCAAUUUUGUGGUUUUACAGCGUAAGGAGCAUUUUUAGCAAUUGGUUUUGGAUGUUAUAUAUUCCGGUUGCCAUAAUCGCACACACGAACGAGUGGUCGGCUUGUCUCUGUCGCUUGAUGGAACCGUUUAUUUGUAAUGGAUCUAAUAGACAAGUCCUUUCUUGUCUUAAGGAUAGUUUUGGUGGCACGACUGUAACCCUGUAGAAAUUCUCUUAUAAGGAAAUCAGGUAAAGGGUUUGAAGAACCAUUUGUGAAUUGGAUAUCAAGAUCAAAAACUAAUAGGAUGGCUGCCAUCUUGCAAAAAUAUGUGUUGGUGCAGUGUUUAAAAUAUCUUUUCAUAAUACUUCUUUUGUUCAUUUGCAAUCAAUACGUAAGAGAAAUUUGGAAGAUUUCUUCAACAAUUAGAAUGGGUACAGUUUAAAGGUUAUAUACAUAAAUAUUGCCAAAUAAUCGAUGAAAGUUUUUUAACUUUUUUUGGCCAAUCAAACACAUACAUACAGACAUACAUACAUAAAUAUUUAUAUUAUUUUUAGUCAUGUUGGUCCUGAGAUUAGACUAUGUAUAAAAACAAUGAUGUGGCAUUCUACAUCAACGCAUGACAGAUAUUAAAUUCUGACGGAAGAAAAAAUAUGGAAAAUCGAAAACGAAAACCGUAUGAGAGAAAAAGCCAGCGUUUAUAGUUAGGUCUGACGAGGAGAGAGAGACGCUUGCUUUGAGCUCAAUGAAGAUUGUCACCCUUCACUGAGUUGCACCAUUAUUGAUCGAGAUACCACGUGACCGUUAAAUCGAAAAUAAAAAUAGAGACCAAUUACACUUGACAUGUCAUAAAAUUUAGACAAUCAUAUAAUGAUAUGGUCUGCAUAAACUAAAUUAGAUAUUAAUUUAUUCUUAUUUUGAUAAUUUGACGGAGUUCACGAGGCUUGCAUAAGUGAGAUGGUGAUGUCAUGAUCUAUGUGAUGCAUGAUGAUGAUGGUCAAGCUUGAGAAAUUGAAGAUCGUAAGGUGUACAAAGUUAAUACACUUGCGGCAAAACAAAGAUGUAAUUCAUGAUCUCGCUUGUUUGAAGAGCGUAGUCGUCAACAAUUAUUUGGAAUUCGUAUAUUUUGUGGCUGGAGAAUGAGAUAUAGAGCUACUAAGUAACCUUGAGACUAUCAAAUUGACAAAUUGCAUCAACUUAGAGAAGCUCCUAAGCAAGAUGCACACAUUUUCCUCUCUUAGACGUAUGACAAUCGAUAACUAUCCAAAACUCGUGUCCUUUCUCGAAAUAGGCAUACCAAUAUACUACAAGGUGUUAUGAUCUUUACUCAUAGGAUUAAUUGUUCAUCUAGAUGAAGCCAGCAGCAGCAGUCAUACCCAUGGUAACAUGAUGUAUUGUGUACAAGAAUUAACAAUUUCCGGAUGCAAUUAUCUGCCAUUUAGCAAGGGUAGAUUUUUACCCUCGACCCUCAAGAGACUUGCAAUUUGGAAUUGGAGGAGAGUGGAGUCACUUGCAGAGAUAAAUGUUGACCAUUUUCAAUCGAUUCAAGAGAUUGAAAUUAGGGGUUGUAGGAAUGUGAGCAGUUUACCCCAGUGCCUACAAACUGUCUCAUCUCACUUCCUCGAUAUUGGAUAGUUAUCCUGCUCUAGAGCUGGAGUGCUUUCCUCCUCUUCCACCUGGCAUCUUGAAAGUUUGUCUUUGGGAUGUCCGAAGAUAAAAUCAUUACCUAAUGAGUUCCAUUGACUUUCAUGUCUCCGAGAUCUGGAAAUUUUUGAAUGUGAAGAGUAUUACACGCUUCCCCAAUAGAGGAUUGCCGUCCUAGCUACAGGAACUCGGUGUAUGGGGAUGCAGGAAUAAGAAGCAACCGGUGAGGAAGUGGCUUACCCCCCUCACCUCCCUUCAAUAUUUGAGGAUCAACGGUAGCGCUGGAGGCGUGGGAGGGGAGGAGGAUCUUCUACUUCCGCUCCCUUCCUCUCUACUCCAAUUCGAUAUCUCAUAAAUGGGGAAUGUGGAAAGACUGUCCAGCAGUCUCGCAGCUCGCUCCCUCUCUCCAGACCUUAUGGAUCGUAUGAUGCCCGAAACUGAGGGAAUUCCCCUCGGAUGGCCUCCCUCCCUCCGUGGAGCUACUCUGCAUAGUAUAAUGUGGGAUUCUCAAGGAGCGAUGCACAAAACUUGUUGAAAGAAAAUAUGAUUGAAGAUCUAGGAUCUGAUUGAGGAUUUGUAUUGAUUGUAAUUGAUAGGAGAUGUGAUUAAUUUAGGACUAGAAAAAUUAGAAGAAUUUAUUUACUUUUUUUAUUGAACUCUCUUGUACAAUAUAUACAUCAUUGUAUUACAUCUAGAAAUCAAUGAAGCAAAUACAAUUUUCCUCCUUACACGAAAUUCCCAUAUUCCUUUUCUUCUUGUCUUCUUCUUGAAUCUGUGACAUGGUAUCAGAGUGUGUCUUGAUUCUGACAUAAGCUUCCGCACUAAAAUCAGCCUUUGUUACUUCUCUGUUUUCUAUUGCUGCAAUCCUUGCAGAACGGAACAGAAUCCAGUCUUCUCUGUUUCUCGUUGCUGCAACUCUCCAGAACAGAACAACAUCCAGGAGGAAGUUCUUCAUCCAACCUUCAAUUAUUUGUUCAAAAAUUAAUCUACAAAACAGAGUUGUUGCAGAUUUUUUAGAAAAUUGUCACCAUGACGAAUCCACAAGCACUUACCUCAGGAUUCGGUGAUCAGUCCGCAGGAGAAACAACGCCACAAGUCUCGCAGAUCCAGGAAUCAUCAAUUGUUACUAUGCCCGAAGGGCAAAUCCAGUCACAGGGUCAAACUCAGCAUACACAGUGGGUACCUGUUCCGGCUCAGGCUAAUUUGGGGCAACCCUAUUUGGGCCAACCUUACCAAUGGGUACCAAAUCCUUGGUAUUAUGGGACGGGCCCAAAUGCAUCAUUGCCGGGAUUUUGAAAUGGUGUACAAACUGAUGGAGGCCUACCAGCCAGCAGCAGGGCAGGCACAAACACCAGUUCACAGCAGACAGGCGGAUCAGCCGAGCCAGGUAUGGGAUCAAAUCCCUACCCGGGUUCAUUUUUUUCUAAUGUGGGUCAUUCAACCGAAUCUGGGGGAUCGGGUUUGGGAGCAAAUCCCUACCCGAGUCCGCCACCAAGGUUCCUCCCAUACCAGAUCUACGCUGCCAGCAGCCAGCCGAAACCCGGCGACCCUCUUUACACAACCAAUGCCGACAGACCAGAACUGAAGCUUGUUGCUCAGCAGUUAACUGGACCUGAUAAUUACUCGAGAUGGUCGCGCGAGUUCUGACUCGCUCUGGUAACGAAGGAUAAGGAGGGCUUUAUUGAUGAAACGGUUUUGAUUCCGUCCAACGAACGACUAGCGCGACUUUGGAAAAAAUAUAAUCAGCUAGUCAGAACGUGGAUCGGAAAUAGCAUUGCUUCCGAAGUUGCGGCCGGUCUUCCUCUGACGGAGGACUCAAAAGAAAAUGUGGGAGAACAUCAAGGAGAUGUAUGGAAAAUUGGAUCAAGUAAAAAUCUUUUCUUUGACGCAACAGAUCUCGGAUUUAAAGCAAGGAAACAUGACUGUUGCUGCAAUUUUUAACAAACUUUUGAGUCUGUGGAAUGAAUUGGAAGCGGUCGAAGAAAAAUUCGAUUGGCCGAAGCCGAUUUUACAACAAUACAAAAGGAUGCGAGACAAGGAGAAAGUCAUCGGAUUUCUCCUCAUAUUAAACGAAUCUUACCUUUCGUUUUGAUCGCAGAUCUUAACCAUGGAGCUGAUGCCAAGCCUUGACCGUAUCUACUAGCUCACAAUCCAGGAGGAAAACCAACAGAGAGCAACAAAUCUCGGAAAGGAAGGCGAGAGAGUGGCUCUAACGGCGAGGGUUUCCUCUCACUCGCUACAGAAAACCACAGGAGGAAGAGAAGGUCGAAGACCUAAUCUAGGGUUUUACGAAAACCCUAUAUCUUAUAUACGAACGACGAAUGGCCACGAUUUUCCUGAUCGAUCGAACGGCCCACGGUCAAUCCUUAGAGCUGUUGGAUCCGACGGCUCAUAGAGUGGCGCAGCCGCUGAAUCCAACGAUUCAUGUGCAGGGGGUUUCUAUGGUUUCGAAGGUCCACACGGCCAAAUCAUUUUUGGGCCCGAUGGCCCACAGGCGCAAUUUUUCGCAUCAUCCGAAGCCCCAUAUGGGGGAACAACGGCCCAUGCUGUUAGCAGGCCUCCCUCAUUUGCAAAAAAACAACAAAGGAAAGGGUAAGUUGUAUUGUGAGUACUAUAAACACCCGCACCACACAAUUGAAAGUUGCUGAAAAUUACAUGGUAAACCUGGUGAAAAAGAAAAUGGAAAGUUUUCAACUAUCUUUCAGGUGAUAGGUAAAUCAGUAGACAAGCCAAUAACUCAUGGGGAAUAUCAGGAGCUGAUGGAAGCUCUAAAGAAAUUGGAUCCUUCUGACAAGGCAGGCAGUUUCACAGGUAUUUCUUAUUGACUGAUGAACUCAAUUUCGAUUGAUGCAUGGAUCAUAGAUACAGGAGCUAGUGAUCACAUUGUCUGUAAUCCAAAAUUCUUUUCCAAUGUCAAAAGGUUAUCUUUUCCAAUAUCAGUAUAAUUUCCCAAUGGAAAUACCACACAUGUUGGAAUGACUGGCACCGUGAAUCUUAGUCCACUCAUCAUUCUUAAAAAUGUCCUUUAUGUUCCUACUUUCCAUUUUAAUCUCAUAUCAGUCUCUGGAGUUUGUGAAGAAAAUUCUUGUCAUGUCUCUUUUGACUUUGAUAAAUGUCUAUUUUAGGCCCUUUCGAUUGGCAAACUGAUGGGCUUUGGUAGAAUCUAUCAAGGUCUUUAUUUUUGGAGUAAUCCUCCAGGCAAUUUUAAAUUAUCCUCUGUUGCAUUUAAUAAACCAUUGUGUAACAUUGUUGCCAAUGAAAGAAAUUUUCUUCACCAUCAAAGAUUGGGUCACACUGCUUCUUUCCCUUGUCCUUAAUGUACCAUUUGCCCUUUGGCAAAACAAACUUGUGCCCCCUUUCAAAACAGUAAGACCCGAGUAGACGAAAUUUUUUCUUUGAUUCAUGCUGAUGUCUGGGGACCAUAUCACACAAUAAAUCAUGAUGGUUCGAGAUUUUUUCUUACAAUCGUGGAUGAUUUCUCACGUGCCACUUGGGUCUUUCUCAUACAAUCAAAAGGUCAAGUUCUUUCUCAUCUUAAAAUCUUCCUUUCCUUAUCCAAAACUCAGUUUGGAAAAUUAGUUCGUCACAUCUGCACUGAUAAUGGUAGGGAAUUCUUCAAUGGUGAUUGUACUUCCUUUCUUACCUCAAAUGGUAUUUUACAUGAAAGUACCUACACUUAUAGCUCACAGCAAAAUGGGGUAGUUGAGCGAAAGCAUCGUCAUCUGUUAGAAGUGGCACGUGCUCUUAAAUUCCAGGCAUCUAUACCAGAACAAUUUUGGGGAGAUUGUGUGAUCACUGCGGCAUAUAUGAUAAAUCGUAUGACAUCUCGCAUUUUAGAAGGCAAAGCUCCAUUUGAAUUAUUGUAUGGAAGGAAACCAGAUCUAAGUCAUCUCAGAGUCUUUGGCUACUUAUGUUAUGUGGCUACAGUAGGUCCCAGGGAUAAAAUGUCCCCUUGUGCUCGACAGUGUAUCAACAGUAUACCGGGGAGUUUUUUAUCAACAGAGAUGUGGUUUUUCAUGAAGAUAUUUUUCCUUUCUGGGAUAUUACUUCUAUGUUUGCAUAUGAUAUGAGAACUAAUCAUCGAUUCCUGUUAGAAGAAGAUCUAUUUUAUGGAGAAUCAUACUUUAUUACCUCUCCUCCAAGACAUCAGAUAGUAGAUACAGUCUUGCCUUCACCACCCGAUGAUUCUUCUCAUGACAAUUCCGUUGAGCAACAACUCAUGGAGCAGGAAUCCCAGGAGAUAAAUCAUGGAGAACCUACAAGCAUUGAGGAAUCAUCUUUGAAGGUGCUGGAUGAGCCACCACGAAGAUCUGGUCGAGCCACUCGUCCACCGGCCUGGACCAAAGAUUAUUUCUGUUCCUCAUCACUAUCAUUAGGUACCCGUUAUCCUUUAUCCUCAUAUGUAUCUUUUGACCGCUUGUCGUCAGACCAUUUAUGUUGCAUUAGUCGAGUUUCUGAGGAAAGGGAGCCAUCUAGUUAUAAUGAGGUUGUACAUGAUGAACGCUGGCAAAAGGCAAUGGAGGCAAAACUUAAGGCCCUAAUUGAUAAUCACACUUGGGAUGUUGUGUCAUUACCUCCUAAUCACAAACCCAUUGGGUGUAAAUGGGUCUAUAAGAUCAAAUAUAGAGCAGAUGGCUCUGUGGAAAGAUACAAGGCCCGAUUGGUGGCCAAGGGCUUCACACAGCGAGAAGGUUUUGAUUACCAUGAGACAUUUUCUCUGGUAGCCAAGGAUGUCACGGUUUGCUCCUUCUUAUUGGUUGCCGCUUUUCGCAACUAGUCAUUGCAUCAGAUGGAUGUCCAUAAUGCUUUUCUUCAUGGUGAUCUAGAAUAGGAGAUUUACAUAGAUCUUCCACAAGGAUUACGGAGACAAGGGGGAGUCGAAGGUAUGUCGUCUUCACAAAUCUCUUUAUGGACUGAAACAGGCCUCUCAACAGUGGUACGCCAAGUUUACUACUGCACUUACGAGAGCUGGAUUCAUGCAGUCCAAACAUGAUUAUGCUUUGUUCACUUGGGCAAAAGGUAUGUCAGUCAUAUACUUGAUGAUUUAUGUUGACAACAUACUUAUUAUGGGAAAUGAUGAUUCCGCUGUGAAAAAGCUUAAAGACUAUCUACAUUUUUCUUUUCAUAUCAAAGACUUAGGGUCACCUAAGUUAUGUUUUAAAUGUGCUUAGUAAUUUCUUGAUCCUGUUUUAUGCAACAAAAUAUGCUUUUUAUCAACUCAUGAAAUAUGUAAUCCACCACGUUUCUCAAAACAUGAGUUUAAAAUACGAAGAAGAAAUAGUGUCACUCACCUGAGAAAAGCCAAAAAUCAACUACGAUGCUCAUACGAACCAACGCAUUCGGAUUCCUAACAAUUAACGGAAAAAUAAUAUUAAAAGGCCGAGUAAAAAAGAUAUUCUUAUAACUACUCGCCUAUACUAGGACUAUUAGUCGAUAAAACGACACCUACGCGCCCCAAAAGCUCACAAUUUAGCAUAAACCCAUCAUUUUCAGCUAGGCGCAGCCCAUGCGCCAACUUCGUCACGCCAUAACUCCCUCCACAAAAUUCUGUUUCAAGCCGUCUUAUAGUCUUUAGAAAGCUCUCUUAACGUACAACAACAACCCCAACUCAGCCGCCCCAAAACAGUACCGAAAAUGACAAAAAAAAAAAGAGACUUGAAGCCACUGUUCGCUACAGUACCAGAUUGCGUCCCCAACUUCAAAAUUCCGUUCCGAACAAACCGCAAGCUCAAAUCAUGAUCCGUAAGAUGCUAUAGCUUCACAACAUCCCAAAGUACCAUUUCUAAAAAAUAUACAGCUUAACGACUCAAAAAUCGGGCUUCACCACACAAAUACUCAAGAAAUCCGAAUUUCGAGCCCUAAUUGCGGCGAUUGCUUCAAGUAAGUGAUUAAAGGCUUCAAUUUCUUACCGGCCUUGCAAAACACACUUGAGUCGGCUUGAUGAGGCGUCUGAAUCACGAGCGCGCCAAAUUUUUUCCCUUUUUCCCUUUUUCCUUUCUUUUCUUUCUCUCUUCUCCCCUGUUUCGCGUUUUCCCCUGCUUCUGCCGAUAUUCUUCUCUUUCUCUUUCUCUCCCUCUUUCUCUCUUUUUAAACUCAGCCGAAGCUUCUUCCACUUUCCUUCAGCCUCCCUUUUUGACUUUUCAACCCUUUUAUUUUUCUUUUCUUUUAUUUUCUUUUCUUGUUUUAAAGCCUAUAUAUUACACUCUCCUCUCCUUAAAAAAAAUUUCGUCCUCGAAAUUUACAGGCACCUCAAUCAUGAAACAAGCGAGGGUAUUUGCGCCUUGCCUCUUCCUCGAGUUCCCAAGUGGCCUCUCUCUCUGUGUGAUUUUGCCAUUGGAUCUUCACAUAAGGAAUAGUGCGUCGUCGCAACACUUGAUCCUUCUUAUCGAUAAUACGAAUGGGCUGCUCCUCGUACGUUAAGUUUUCUCUCAACUUCAAUGGUGUAAAAUCCAAUACGUGGUUAGGAUUUGGCACAUAUUUUCAUAAUAAAGAUACAUGAAAAGGGCCGAGCCACCGGCUAAUAAUAGGUGGAGACCUUGCCAAGGGAGGAAUCUUGGUCGUCUUGUCACGGGCGUUACGAGUGACCAUGGUUAGACAUUUGAGCAUGAAUUAGUCAAUGGAGUGGACCAUUAACGUGUGAUUUGAGUUUGGUCGAUGGAGUGGACCAUUAAUAUGAUUUGAUGAGAUUAAUCAAUGGAAUAGACCAUUGAUGCAUGUUUUAUGAGAUUGACUAAUGGACUAGACCAUUAGUAUUUCGGUAUUUGAGUUAUGAUUAUGUUUUCAAGUUAUGUUUUAAAUGUGCUUAGUAAUUUCUCGAUCUGCUUAGAAGAAAUGUGUUACUCACUGAGCCGUGGUAGCUCACUCCUUUCUUAUACUUGUUUUUUAGGUUCUUCAGCGAGUCGCGAGUAGGCGUGAGCGUUCGCUCGGGGAGGACUUUUAUGAUGGAACUUUUUGGUAUGACUUGUGCAUAGUUAAUAGGUUUAUAAGUUAGUCCUUGUAGAAGGUUUGUGUUUUGAUUUUUGUGGAUUAUAGAUAUACUCCGAUAUAGAUAUUGUAACCAAGUGCCCAUUUUUGUCAAAUAUAUAUAUGUGGAUGUAUAUAUGUUGAUAUCGGGUUGAAUUUUUGGUUACGUUGAGGCUGCGUCCUUUGGUAAAAGGAUGGCCGUGUCAUGUCCUUUUUUCUUGUGAAUCGGGGUGUGACAACUGCAAAACAUCACCAUCAGGACACAUAUCAAAACUACGAGAUGGGCAUCGAAAGGUGUCAAUAAAUAUAUUUAUUAAAACUAAAAUCUUGGGCAAUGUUCGAUUAAUAUGCUUGGAAGAGGCUUGAUUUGAGGCCAGCACUUCUUCUUCUUCUUUUUUUCUUUUUGCAGGAGCAGAAAGAAUAUCAACGUUGAAAAGAGUUGGAGGAGGAGGGUAAGGAACAAACAAAAGGAAUGGACAAAUCAGAAACAUGAAGUGGCAGAGAAUGCAUGGGAAAGCUGCAAAAAGUCUUUCCCAUUGAAAAAUGAUCGCAUUAACUUUUAAUAAAAGAAUGUUUCACCUAAGAGUUAUGUUUAAUAAGAGUAUUGUACGGAAAAUAUUUCUCAUUUUAAAAUAUCUAUUAAGCGCAAUGAGAAAUAAGCUGACUAUAUAGGAAAAUGUAAAAUCUUUCCUUAAUCAAUUACCGGAGCAAAUGCACUCUUGAAGUUUUUGUCAAAAUGCCUCGACAACUUUGCAUUUUCGAAAAUCACUCCGGCAUCCCAGCCAUAUAGACUGCUUUUACUUCCCAGUUAGAUUAGAUUUGGAAACUUGAAUAAUAUACAUUGUUCCCACUGACAUGUGGUGCCACAUCGUAGGUUAGAAACGUUGCCAAGAUGAAAUGGAGUUGACCUCCUUUGAUCUUGACCAAAUCCAUGACUUCCUUCGGUUUCCGCUUAAAUCAGGUUGGCUUGAACUUGGGGCAGGCUUUCCUUCCUAAAAUGGGGUGCGACGUGUCGUUUUAGCUCUCCUAACUUGACCCGGCUCAUCAAUAUCAGCAUUUUCGGCCCCUUGAGUUGAAAAGACAUAAAAGAGGCAAAGUAUAUUUCAUGCCAUUUUCUGGUUGAGCCUCUGAUGGGGCGCAUGCAAAGAGUCGUUUCUGUAAUUUAACCAAAGCUGAAGGUGAGUAUGUUUUCCACCUAAAAUUAGGGAACCAAGUCAUUGCUACAUGGUGCAACUCUUCAUAUCUGCUGAAUGAUUUUCUCCGGGCUAGGUGAUUAAUGGAUUCAGCUUUUCUCAUCUCUACCAGCGCUUUGGAAGUGAGUUCUGCUCCAACUCAUGAUAUCGGUGCAGCAUGACUUCGAGGAGAGUGAAAAAAACUGCCGUGAGCACGAUUCUUGAUCCGAGGGAGGGGAAUACCCUUUUAAUGUUUUCAGUCUUUGACAUUGCAUAAGUUUAGAGGGCUUCCUGUUUCUUUUUCCCGUCUGAGCUCUAGUCUGGCAGCUGCUCACAAAAUGAAAGGAUUCGCUCUACUUGGAGGCCUUCAUUUUGUACAGUAACUUAGAAUUUCGAUUUUCAUCUUUACUUGAGCUCCCAUUAUUGAGUGUAUAAGGGCUUGUUUGGCAAAUUUUAUUUCUGUUUUCCAGAACACAAAUUUAUGUUCUUUUGUUCUGAGAAACAAAAAAAGAACAUAAAUGUAUUUGUUUACACUUUUGUUUCCGUGAAUAGAUUUAGAACAGAAACAAGAAGUAGAAAAAACUUGUUUCUUGUUCUUGGGAACACUUUCGAGAAACACUUUUUUUUUCUCCUUUAUUCUUCUUUUUUCUUUGACCGGUCGCCGGCCUCGGCCAUGGCCGGCAACCAGCCAUCGAGGGCCAGUGACCUUGCCGGAGCGUCACUGGCCCGCAACGAGGCCGCCGACCCUCAUCAGCCGGUCGCCGGCCAUGGCCGAGGCUGGUGACCGGCCAAAAGGAAGAAAGAAAAAAAAAAGAAAAAAAAGGAAAAAAAAAUAGAAAUACUAAAAAAUUAAAAGAAACAAAAAAAUGAUACAAGUUUAUCAAACGUGUUUCUGUUCUUUUUCUAUUCCAAGAAUAUAAAUUUUGUGCAGUUAUCAAAUGCAUUCUUCUGUUUAAAAAUUGUUUGCCGAAACAAAAAUAAUUUUUUCUAUUUCUGUUUUCGGGAACAAUUUUUGAAUAGAAAUGUUACCAAACGCACCCUAAGUCAAUCGUUUGCUGUUAGAAGUUGUUUUUGGCUAACGAUAGAACACUCCAUAAAUGUAAAGCACGGAGUCCCCGCUGUUCCCCUGGAAAAUCUAAAACACAUUUAGGAUGCUUGUGUGAUCUGGUCAGAUAUGAGAAUGGCCCUUUUAGCUCGAGUGGACCUAGGAGACCUAAAGUUAUGCCAAAAAUUAAACUCAAGAUGAUUGCUCGUAUUUAUUUUUCCACAAGAGAAAAUUGGUAAUAAUAGCGCACAAUGUCGAGUAAAUUUCUCAUUAUUUUUUUAUUGGCUAAGCCUCUCAAGGUCUUCCUCACUGCCUACCACAUAUCCCAUUUAAGAGCAGUUUCUGCUCAUCGGGCAUAACACUAACCCAGUUUAUUUUGGUAUGUCGGAUGGAAUUCUCCAUAACAAGUAUGACAGGAGGUUACAGGUUCAGAAAGCCAAUGGACUAUGUAUGGUAUGGUCUGGCUUUUCCUGUUUUAUUUUGUCCCCAUCUUUCUUAAAUAUCUUGUUCCUUGGAUAUGAAAGUUCUGAGAUUGUUUUCUCUCAGCAACAUUGUUUUCUGCCGUUGCAGGGAGAUGCCUCGCAGGGUAGUUGAAGGGAAGUACUUUGUGAAUUGAAACGAAGACAAUAAUCCAUUAGAAAGAGAACUCGAAUCGUCAUUAUCAUAUACUUGUGCCUAAUCUAGCAAUGACCAAUUUUGGCCAGAAAUAUCUAAUGUGAAUAUCGGCUGUCCUAUGUGAUACAAUCACCAUAUCAGCAAUUUAUAGCCAAAAUUAGCUAAAAUAACUAUAUUAGUAAAUCGUCAAAAUCUUUAAGAUUAAAUUGACAAAUUAUCAAAAGAAUUAGAAUUGAAUUGAUAAAAUCAAAAAAAUUUAUAAUUGAGUUGGCCACCGUAUAAUAAAUUUAAGAUUUUUUGAAUAAUUAUCCCGAACAAAAAAAAAUGUCUAUUACUCCCUACAUUAUACAAUUUUACUUAAGUAGAUAUUAUCUUAUGUUAAGUUUCGUUGAAUUUACAAAAUAUUUUGUCUCGCUUUUGGGUCGUGAUCCUGCAUUUGCCAUUUGUGAAGUGCACUAUCCUAUACAUGUGAAGAUGUCACGUAACGAGCAUUAAUCUCCUAAAGCUUUUCAGUUUUUAAGUUUAAUUAAAAUUUUCAUUUUCCUUUUGAAAAAUGUGUGCGACAUUUUACCAUAUCUUGUACAGAUGGCACAUAAACAUAUUGUAUGAAUGUCAAUUUAAUCAUAAAUCUUUUAAUUUAAUCACUUUUAUAAACUUGUUGACAUUUUGCCAAUGUUGUGCUUCAAGCCAAUUUUGGUCAAAAAUAGUUGACAUAAACACUGGCCAUCAUACGUGGCACAAUUAAUGCUAAUGUGGACAAUUUGAUAAAUUUUCUUCUUUUUUUUUCUUUUCUUUUUUAUUGGUUGAAGAAGGUCUUCGAGCCCUCACCGGUCGUAGGAGGCGAUCUAAGUGUGAUUCCAGCAAAUUCAACAUGUGAACUCGACAAAAACACAUCAGAUUCAAUUCAGUUCCAUACAAGAUAUUCUUAGCCACAUCUAGCAAUACUCAAAAUUGAAUUUAUGUCACGACAACGCUGAAUGUAGAUCUAGACCGAGACGGAAACAAAUCAAAGUGCAUAGCUCUGAUGUAGAUUCUCAUUGCAAGACAACAUACUUAAGGAACGGCUAUACAGCAAAAACGAUCAACAUAAACUCAUAUACAAUGAGGAAAGCGAUGCAAGCGAACUAUAAAUGAGCCAAUUUCAUAACAGGAAGCCCUCGGUCACGAACACAAUAGGCGAUUUAAGCAUUGUAACGCGCGCGAGUUUGUUUCCAACGUUUAGAGCGAUGGAGAGGGGGAGAGGGAGCGGUUCCAAUGAGAUGGACUAGGCUCAAUAUACAUCUUUAAGUGUUUCGCCGAAUUGGGCUUAAUGGGUUUCAUUAGAACUUGCCUAGGCUGCUCUUAUGGAUCUGAUGGGCUGAGACGAAUUGUGCCAGGUGCUUGAUGGGCUUGACUUGUGGUCUGCUGCGCUUGUGGUCGGAUCGAGCUGGGCUGGAACAAGGUGAUCAAACCGGGCUGGAGUGAUGGGCUUUGAUGGACCUGGUGCUUCAUUGUGUUUAUUUUCUAUUCUAAUUUUCAUUAUUAUGUUUCCAUUUUUUUAUUUAUCUUUAGUUAUUUUUAAUUAAUAUAUAUAUUUCCUUUUUAAUUACAAAAAAUGCAUGUUUAACUUGUUGAGGAAAAUUAAGGUUUAAAUAUUGUGGUGACGCAAAUGGGUCUUUCCCAAAAUAUUACGAAUAAUUAAAUGGUAUCAUGUUUAUCAAUCCAAAGUUGAUGAGAUUGAUAAACAUAAAAAUACUACAAACUUAGAACUGUCUUCCUGAAGUUGUAGUUAUAGAAAACAUAUGUAGAUUUAGUCUAUGGGUAAUGUUAUAGACAUAACUAAUUAUGUUAUAGACAUAACGAAUUAAAGUGUAGAAGCUAUAUAAAAACCUAUGUUUACUAGCAAGAUUUAGCGUAGGAUCUACAGAUUCUUGCAAUGUGAUUAUCUUGAUCUAGUAGAUUAAAUUUACGCAAUACUCACCCAUGGAGUUGUGCCUAUAUAUAAGGUGUGUUUUUCAUGCAUUUGUAUAGCUUGAACACUUGUGGUCUUGGGACAAAAAGGAUGUUAAACACCAAAUUCCGCAUGUACGGUUAUUGUCGUCGUCAUCAUUAUUCUUUCUGCAUUUUGCUAGGCAAGUAUCGAAGGAAGCAGCUACAAUCCAAACUUUAAAGAUCUCUUGGAUCAUGAUACAUAUGGUCACCUCAAGAUCAAGCCUUUCUUUUCUUCUUUCCAUAAUAGAAAUUAAAUAGUUUUAACUCAAGCCCUUGCAGCUCUCACAAAUAAGAUUGCUUGAAUCAGCUCCUAGUCAGAUGGUAAGCUAAGUCAUGCCACAAACAUGAGCAAUAAAUGUGUUGUGGCCCAUUGAAUCUAAGCAAAAUUCUUUUCGAUAGAUGUGUGAUUUGGGGAUAGAAUGAAUGGCCUUUAGCCUAUCCAAUGAAGCGGGGAAUAAUCGGCAAGACAUGAAAGCUUGAAAAAUUGGGGCUUUUCGCAGAAUAGAACAUGUCGUUGCCCAACAUGAGUUGAAAGUGAUGACGAUAUUAGCAUUAUAAGCAGGAGAGUUAACGACACUCCAAAUAACACAUGAAACGGUAACGAACUUAAGAUGAAAGUUGAAUCCAGCUCACAAAAACCAAUAUUAAAUACUUUUUUUGUCUGAAUCCUUAUAUAUGUUCAUUCAAUUUUCAUAAAUUCGUGUAUAGCUUAAGAAAGUGCCUAUCCUACUCUGGAGCAUUAGAAAGUUAAUUGUAGACCAAUCGACAAAGUAUCCGAUCUGAAUGUGGAUCGAACGAGGAUACUAUUUUUAAGGUAGAAGGCCCAAGCCGCAAGCCUCAUGACUUGAAGUCAUUAAGCUGAUCAAUCAAUAUCCCAUGCUAAUGGUAUGAGAAGGGGAUAGUGGUCCAAAAAGUCCUGAAUCUAUUGUACGAUAGCUAAUAUAAUUCUAAACCCUUUCAAUUGUGCCAAGUUAGUUCUAAAUCUUUUAAGAAUUUGUUAAUUUAGUUCUAAACAUUUCAAUUGUGUCAAUUUAGUUCUAAAGCUACCUAUUAUUUAGAUAAAUGGCUAGAAGGACUACAUUGGCAAAUCAUCAUAAAGGUUUAGGACUAAAUUGAUAAAUUAUCAAAAAUGUUAUAACUAAUUAGUACAAUUGAAAGGUUUAGAUCAAAAAAUUUAUAACUAAAUUGACAUAAUUGAAAGGUUUAGGUUGUUGUAUAAUAUGUUUUAAGACUUUUUUUGGACAAUUUUAACAUUUGAAAAGGGAAUGAUAAUAGCGACAUGUUAAUUAGAAUUGCAAAGUCAUUGUACCUUAAGUGAAAAACACAAGAAACGUGAUCUUGUUACUAUGGGGUCCCAUGAAGUAGGUCGUGUCAUUAUCUAGUUGUGAGUAGUGGAUACUUCAAUCAAUUUGCAACAAUCCUUUUCUUCUUCUAGGGAAGGUUGUUUUGGGAGUGCUUUUUUGUACAAGCUCAGUGAAUACUUUGACUUCAAUAUGCAAGAUUGUGCAUAAGUUUGUGAAUUGUAUUGGGAGAGAAUUGAUCAUUGUGUUCAAUAGUUGUGAAAAUCAUGAUAAGAUUUAGUGAUUAUUUUGCAAGGAAUUGUGCAUGUUGAAAACUAUGUGAAUUAUUAGAUGGGACUGGGGAAUAAGAAAAACUAAGAGUACUUGAAUGACUCGAGCACUGUUAUAACCUCUGCCGUAUUGUUUAAUUAAAUAUGAAAUUUUAUGUUGCUCUCACAGUGGACAAAAUUAUAUCGACCGAACCAUGUAAUAUGGUGUUCGAUUUUUCAUUUUUGCAUAUUGAUUUAUUAUUGUUCGAUUGCUUUAUUUUUAUGCAACUAUAAUAUAGAUAACGAAACAAAUUACCAAAAACAAGAUGUAUGUGUUGAGGUGUAUAUUUCAAUUGAUGGUGUCAAAUUCUAGUUGUUUUGAAAGUGAGGGAAAUUAUUAAGUCGUUUUAUAUGUUAACUUUACUUAAUAAUGAAAUAUCAAUUAAAAAAAAAUCGAUCCCACAUAUUCUGGGGAAAAAUCAGUACAAUCAAACUUUUAUUAAUCGAUUUAUGAGCAACCUAAAGAUAAUUCUUUUAAAAGACAAGUUGUGGUGAUUUUGAUUGAGAAAAGCCGUGGUUAUACUCAAUUUUUUUGUGUCCAAUCAAUCACGAUAUGGCCAUUAGUGACACUGUGUCACUUUUGAAAAACGCAAAAGGAAAAGGAGACAAUUACUCUUCUUUCUUUUUGCGUUCAAUGAAACGUCAUAUUGCCAUGUGAAACGCACCAUUGUCGAAAUGAUUCGCCCCAUUGUCUUUACUUUGGAAAAACAGCCAAAGAGGAAGGAGACAAUUAUUAUUAUUCUAUCCUUAAAGGACCUGUAGUGGAGUAUGAACUAUGAACCUUCUUAUGGCCAUGCGAAACGUUGCCCCUUUAUUAGCUGUAAAGGAUUCGUAACAUUAGUGUUACUUUGGAAAAACAACAAAAGGAAAAGCAGACAUUAUGGUGGAGGGUGGACCUUAUUAUGGAGACUUUUGAUACUUCUUGUCCGAAGUGCACUAUGGUCCUAAGUUCACAAAAGUUCUUCCAAUCAAAUGUCGCAUGUCCAUGUGAAAUGCAAUAUUUUUUUUACUUGCAAAUGAUCCACGACAUUAGUGUUACUUUGGAAAAGAAAAGCAAGAAGCAGACAUUAUUGUCCUCUAAAGACAUGAAGUGCACUAUGGACUUUAUUUGUGUUUGAGCAAAACAACAAAUUGACCGGUGGGACAUGAAAAGAUAAGGAUGAUCCUGAGUUUGCAAAAGUUCACCCAAACAAUUUGGGAUAAGAACAAUAUCAUUGUCAUAAUUAUUGUAUGACAUCCAUUUUACCGUCAAAAUUUUCCAAACGGGAAAAUGCAACGUGUGUAUAUUUCAAUCACGAUGCUUGUGGCCUCAUUAAUGAUUGUACGUUAGAUUAUCACAAAUUUGUCACAAUUUCUUCUCUUUUUCCCCCAAAAAAGACUUAUCACAAUGGAGAAAGGGCUAUUAAGUCAUAGGUUUGACGUGUGCAUUAGCUAAUCAAAAGUUCUUUAGAAGGUGCCGUGUGAUUUCAAUGGCCAGAUUUUUUGGAAGCCUCUGCUGACAAGAAAAUUCCGACAUUAAACAUCAACAGUUCAAAAUUUUCCACAGAAAACGCCACAAAAGGUUAUCCUUAAUUAUACAUAUCUUUAGUAAUUUUCCAUAGAAAAUUAAUAUUUUGCUAAUAUAAUGUUUUUUUUUUCCUGAGAAAGCUACCUUACCUAGGUAAUUCUAAAUUCAUAGAGUGCUCUACUAUUUUUAUGAAUUAGUUAGCUAAGAAACGGAUUAAAACUUGGUUGAAAUAUCUAAUUGAUAACCAAGUUAUCUGCAUCUAGUCAUAUGAAAAAUUCGAAUAAUACAAACACGCAAUUCUCCUUUAUGUGUCAAUUAUUUAACCAUUAAGCCAGUCGCAUGGUUCAUCGAUUCUGUCUCCUUAUUCUUAUCCUUUGGCCAUGGCCCUUGGGGCUAUUAUUCUGUUAGGCUUCUAGAAAGUAGAAGGCAAUCUUUUCCACGAUCUUUUUAAGUAUAGAGGCGACAAAGAUAUGUGUACACAUCGUUCAUUUGUUUUGAUGUGAUGUCAUAGUUGCAUGCGAGAGAGAUCCCAAUUCCGUGUAUGCGGUUAAGCAAGCCCUGCCGCCAGCUUCCACCCAGACAAAAAACGUGAGCGCCUAGCGCGAAAGGUUGCUUUACUAAAAAAAAAUAGUUGGCGCGUUAGCGCUUUAGUCUUCAAUAAGGGGCGGAGCUUGAAGAAGCGAAGCGAGCCUAUAGUAGCAGCCUAUUACGUUUUUCAGGCCCUUUUACUUGAUAUUCUGUUAGUCAAGCGCUAGCGCUCCUAUAGAGUCAGGCUCUUCUGCUAUCAAUGAAAAAACUGUAAUCUAGAGAUUCAACUAUUUUGUACCGCUAAUCUAAUACUUAUACACACUGUAGUAAUAGGGUAUGAGUAUUCCUAUAUACCAAAUUCCACCUAUUUGAAAGGCUAGUGGGCAUAUUGAAGCUGGGUAGCUCUUCUUUUCCAGGGACAAAACAAUAGGCUUUUUCUUUUUUUGACCCCGGACCAAAUAAAACAAGGAAGCUUUGCUAUGCAUAUAAUCAUUGUUGCUUGGCAAAAUGGGGGGAAAAACAAAUUGAAGCUUGAAGCUUUGCAAUUUAAUUCAACUAUAGCCACCUGGUUUUCUUUUCCAUCUAUUGAGAAAGCAUAUCUAGGCGACAAUGAUAGAAUUGAAUAAAAACUAACAAUUUUUUUUUCUUUCUAAUCAUCGUUGAAAAAUGAUUUUUUAUUGAGUGUUUUUGGACACUUGUAGAGCAAUUAACAAUGAAAAUUUUAUAGCUUGCAAUGGAUCGGGGUCUCAUGUUAGUAGAAUAGUACUCGGAACACAUAUGAUCAGUAUUUAAUGAAUAUACAUUUACAUAGAUUAAGUUUAUAUAACAACUGCUCCAUUAUUUGACAUCGAGAUGGCGUUCAUGAGGCUGCAUCAAUGAAACCGUGAUUCCAUAUGAACUAUGCGAUGCAUGAUGAUGGCGGAUGGGUGCAUUUGGGAAAUGUGCGAUAGGAGUGGCGAGAGGGAACUGAUGAACAAUAAAAAAGCAGAAGUUUCGGGGUUGGGUUGACGACGGGCCCACUUCUUUACCCUCUGAACCUUUGGUGGCUUCGAUGAUUUAAAAAAAAGUAAUACAGGAUAAAAUUAUGCAAUAUUAAUGAACGAAAUAAUUUAUAGAAAUCUCUCCACCCUACAUAAAAACAUCUCUAUGCACCGUUGUAGAGGAUAAAAAGGUUGUCUUGUUCAUCCACUUUGUCUCUUUAUGCAAAUCAUCGCUACUUCCUCAAUUCUUAUAAUAGCUCGAUGGGCAAAAAUUUAUUUAUAUAUGGAAUGACGAAAAGCAAAACAGAUUUGAAUGCAAAAAAAGGGUGAAGGAGGGAGAUCCUCGAAGAGCAAUCAAUGGAGAAAGAAACAUCAGGAAGUUUUUACAGGAAUAUGUAAUUAUCAACGGCUGAGAUUUAAUACCAUUCAUCCAACAAUUUAGAACCUUAAUAAAGACCCAAACAUGAGGAAGAAAGAGGAGAUUGGUAUGGACCAUGGAACUCUAUAGCCUAACCUUAGUUAAUGCCUUAACUAAACACCAAUCUAUUUCUUGGUAAUUGGUAGCGGACUGCUCUAAAUCAUCUCUAGUCGAAACUGAAUAUUAAAAUCAGACCAAAAAAAAGAAAACCUAAAUGUUAAAGAAAGACUAUUGCUGAUUGCCUCAAUCAAGACGAGUAUAUGUACGGAGAUGGAUGAUGAGGUUUUAGUCUUAAACCAGCUUCUUGUCUGCCAUUAUUAGGAGAAGGAACGGAAAGAACAACAAUAGAGAUGGAUGGGCAUUACGUAACAUUUAUGCACAUUAUAACACUAGGAUAUGCAAGUAAAUAUUAAAUUCCACCUAUCUGAACAGCAUGUGGGCAUACUAAAGUUAGGUUGCUCCUCUUUAACUGGGAUAAAACAAUAAACAUGUAUAUUUUUUGACCAAGGAAGCUUUGCUAUGAUAUAAUCUAUGAUAUAAUCAUUGUUGCUUGGUAAAAAGGGGAAAAAAAACAAAUUGAAGCUUGAAGGUUUGCAAUUUAAUUCUAUCUAUAACCACCCAAUUUUCUUUUCCAUCUAAUAUAAUCUGAUUAUAUAUUAUUGGGAGAGCAUAUUUAGGUGAUAAUGACAGAAUUGAAGAGAAACUAACAAUUUAAAAAAAAAAAUUUAUCAUCAUUUAAAAAUAAUUUUUUUAUAGUGUUUUUGGACACUUUUUGAGCGAUCGACGAUGAAAAUUUUGCAGCUUCAAUGUAUGGGGCUCAUGUUAUGCAGAAAAGUAGUUGGGACCCAUAUGAUCAGUGUUUAAUGAUGAUAAAUUUACAUAGAUUAAGUUUAUGUAACACUUGCUCAAAAAAAAAAAAUUUUAUGUAACAACUACUCCACGAUUUGAUAACGGGAUCGGGUUCAUGAGACUGCAACAACGAAACCGUGAUGCCAUAUGAGCUAUGUGAUGUAUGGUGAUGGCGGAUGGGUGCAUUUGGGAAUUGUUUGAUGGGAGUGGUGAGAGAGAACUGAUGAACGACAAUAAAGCAGAAGUUUCGGGGUUUGGUUGGAUACGGGCCCACUUCUUUACCUUCUGAACUUUUGGUGGCUUUAACGAUUCCAAGACUUUGGUCCCAUUUCCGACCAACUUGCUUCAGAGAAAUUGAGGCAACAGAAAUGAAAUUAAAUCAAAUGAGACGCGAUGAAAUGCAAUGGCAGCUUCUUCCGAUAAAGAAAGAGCACUUUACUGCUUAAUAAGUCCAUUGAUUCGCUCCAUCAUUUGAUGCUGUUGUCCUAGACGGAAGAACUUCUAUUUCCUCUCCGCUCUGUAUACUUUGUGUUGACCCUUCUGGACACUCCUGUUUAGUCCUCUGCUGCUCACGAACCAAGCCAUGCCCAUCACGGAGCUCUAUCUUGGUGCCUUUCUUCAGGUGUUGUUCGAUAGGUUGGCCUCUGUCGAGCUUCUCAACUUUGCACGGCGUGAGGGGAUUGAUACGCGGUUGAAGGAAUGGGAGAAGAUGCUGAAGAGUUAAUUCGACCAAUAGCUACCUGCUCUUUUUUCAUCUAAUCUAAUCCGAUUAUGUAUUCUUGAGAGAGCUUAUCUAGGUGACAAUCAUGGAAUUGAAGAAAAAGUAGCAACUUUCCUUUUCUUUCUUAUCAUCAUUUAAAAAUGAUUUUGUUAUCGAAUGUUUUUUGACACGUUGAGAAAUUGACAACAAAAAUUUUGUAGCUUUCAAUGUAUGGGAUUUUCAUGUUAAAUAGAAUAGUGGGGUUAGGACCCAUUUGAUCAGUGCUUAUGAUGAUACAUUUACAUAGAUUAAGUAUAUGUAGCAACCGCCCCAUUAUUUGAUAACGGGAUGGGGUUCACGAGGCUGCUUUAGAAAAUAUGAUGCCAUAUGAUUUAGGUGAUGCAUGAUGAUAGUGGAUGGGUGCAUUUGGGAAUAGUGUGAUGGGGGUGGUGAGAGAAAACUGAUGAACACUGAUAAAGCAGAAGUUUCGGGGUUGGGUUGGAUACGGGCCCACUUCUUUCACUUCUGAACCUUUGGUGGCUUUAAUAAUUUCAAGACUUUGGUCCCAUUUCCGACCAACUUGCUUCAGAGAAAUUGAGGCAACAAAAAUGAAAUUAAAUCAAAAGGGACGUGAUGGCAACUUCUUCCGAGAAAGAAAGAGCCCUUUAGUGCUUAAAAAGUCUUUUGAUUCGCUCCAUUAUUAGAUGUUGUUGUCCUGGCCGGAGUAACUUUUGUUCUGCACACUUUCAUUCAACCCUUCUGGGCACUCUUGUUUAGUCCUCUACCGCUCACAAAUCAGCCAUGCCCAUCACAGAGCUCUUUCUCGGCGCCUUUCUUCAGGUGUUGUUCGAUAGGUUGGCCUCUCCGGAGCUCCUCAACUUUGCACGGCGUGAGGGGAUUGAUAUGCGGUUGAAGAAAUGGGAGAAGAUGCUGGAGAGUCUCAAGGAGGUGUUGGAUGAUGCAGAGGAUAGGCAACUCACCGGCCAUCUCGGGGUGAAGUCGUGGCUAGAAGAUCUUAGAAACUUGGCCUAUGACAUCGAAGAUUUGCUUGAUGAGUUCGUCACAGAAUCCGCUGAAAGCAAGUCCAAGGCAGAAUCCAACACUAGCAAGGCGCAUUCCCUUCUUUCCAAUUGUUGCUUCAGAUUAAGUCCGAGAGAAUUCAUGCUCAACCACAAAAUGAGAUCUAAGAUGGAAGAGAUGGAUGCCAAAUUACUGGAGAUCGUAACUCAAAAAGACAGUCUGAGCCUAAGAGAGAAUAACGAGAAGCGAUCAACAAAUCAUUUACAGGAUAAGCCAAUUCCAACAACACAUUUGAUCGAGGGUUGUUUUGUUGGUAGGGAAGAUAAAAAAAUGGAGAUUCUCAAAUUACUAACCGAAGAAGAAGAUGAUAGAACAACUACAAACAUAAGAGUGAUUCCCAUCGUAGGGAUGGCGGGUCUUGGGAAGACAGCUUUGGCUCAGCAAGUCUUCAAUGAUGCCAGAGUGACCAGCUACUUCGAUGUAAAAGCAUGGACUUGUGUUUCUGAUGAUUUCGUCAUGCUUGCUAUUACAAAGAGUAUCCUACAAAAAAUCGACUGCACUUUGUCUUCUGAAGAUAAGGACCUGGAUUGGCUUUAGGAUAAGCUCAAACAAAACCUUUCGGGGAGAAAGUUUCUUGUCGUUUUGGACGAUGUUUGGAACGAGAAUUAUGGAAACUGGACUAUCCUCUUGAAGCCUUUUCAAUCGGGAGCAAAGGGAAGCAAAAUCAUUGUCACGACCCGUAAUUCCCACGUUGCCAAAAUAGCCGGUGCUCGACCAUUUACUCUCAAAGAGUUGUCACUAGAAGCUUGCGUGACUCUGUUUGCAUUUCAUGCUCUUGGAGUAAAAAAUUUUGAUCAUCAUCCUUAUCUUGAAGCAUUAGGUCUCAAAAUAGUGGAAAAAUGCAAAGGGUUGCCAUUAGCAGUGAAGACAUUGGCUGGGCUGCUACGCACUAAAGUUGGUCCCCAUGAAUGGCAAGCUAUAUUGAACAGCAAGAUUUGGGAUCUACCGAAAGAAAGAAAUGACAUCCUUCCGGCUUUGAAACUUAGCUACCUCCAUCUCCCUUCCAAUCUAAGGAGAUGUUUCGCUUACUGUGCUAUAUUUCCCAAGGACUAUGAAAUCCAACGGGACAAGUUAAUUCAUUGGUGGAUUGCAGAGGGCUUGGUGGACAAAAAAGAAGCAAAGAGUCAAUGGAAUACAGGUUUGAAUUAUUUCAAUGAGCUAGUAGACAGGUCGUUAUUUCAAAAGUCAAGUAGCAAUGGAUUAGAAUUCUUAAUGCAUGAUCUUGUGAAUGACCUGGCAAAGCUAGUUGCAGGUGCAUCCCAUUGUAGCUCGGGGGAAUUUGAGUUUGUGGAUGAUCACAAUAAUGCAUCUUUAGCUCGUCACGCCUCAUUCCUUCCAAGCAAUUAUUUUAUGCCAAAAAGAUUCGAGAUAUAUCAUCGAAUGCAGGGACUUAGGAGCUUCAUAUCAUUAGAGAAGCAACAUCGGUCUUCCUUUGUGACCCAGAAAGUGCUACAUGACUUGUUGUCGGUAUUGAAAUACUUAAGGGUGCUUUCAUUGAGUCGCUAUAACAUUAGGGAGGUACCAGAAUGCAUUGGAAAACUAAGGCACCUAAGGCACCUUAAUCUAUCACAUACUCAUAUUGAAACCCUUCCAAAGUCGAUUGUUGCAUUGCACAAUCUAGAAGCUUUAAUAUUGCAAGGCUGUCGCAAGCUUAUCAAAUUACCUGAAGGUAUGGGAAAACUAAUCAAUCUAAGAUUUCUUAACAUUACCAAUACUCCAAUUCUAAGAGCAAUGCCACUAAAUAUAGGUAAUUUGUUGGGUCUUGAGAUCUUGUCCAAGUUUAUAGUUGGAACGGAAAAUGGGUCAAGGUUGAAUGAGUUAAGAAACCUAAAGAACCUGCAAGAGGAAUUGUGCAUCUCUGAUUUGCAUAAAGUUCAAGAAGCUAGAGAAGCCAAAGAUGCCAAUUUACUCAUGAAGGAGGGAAUAUGCCGGUUGAACAUGCAAUGGUGCACAAAUUUUGAAAAUUUCCGGAAUGAAGAGCUUGAAACAAAGGUCCUUGACUUUCUUUGCCCUCACCAAAACCUUGCACAUCUUAAAAUAUCCUACUAUGGCGGCCUAAAAUUCCCAUCUUGGUUAGGUAGUCCGACACAUGUUAACAUAAUGCAUUUACAUUUAUAUGGGUGUCAAAGGGUCAAAGAAUUACCAUCGCUUGGGCAGCUAUCUUCGUUGAAAGAAUUGUACAUCAAAGGUUUAAAUGCAAUAUGCAUGGUAGGGUCUGAAUUUUAUGGAAGUAAAAGUCCUUUUCCAUCCUUGUUGACUUUGGAAUUCAAGGGCAUGCCAUUGUGGGAGGACUGGUCUCAUUGCAUCGACGCUGAAGAAGUUGGAGUUGUAUUCCCUUGCCUUGAGCAUCUUGUCAUUCAGGAUUGCCCUAUGCUGAUCGGAAGAUUGCCUAGUCAACUAAGCUCCCUUGUACAGCUCACAAUUAACUCAUGUCCACGUUUGGAAGCCUCGCCAUCUUUCAAUAGCCUUCCAUCUCUCAAUGAAUUAAAAUUCGAAGGUUGUAAUGAGAGGGUGCUGCAUAGUUUGGUAAACCUGGCAUCUCUUACUGCUCUAGACAUAAAUGAUGUUGCUGAACUCACUUGCUUAAAUCAUGGGUUUACAAGCUCCUUGAUCAAGCUAGAGAAGUUGACGAUCGAAAAGUGUGCAAAGUUAAUAUAUAUGUGGCAAGAUGGAGAUGUAAUUCGGAAUCUCAAUUGUCUGAAGAGAUUAGUCGUAUGUAGUUGUUCAGAAUUCAUAUAUUUUGUGGCUGAAGAAGGAGAUAUAGAGCUACCUGGCAACCUCGAGACUAUCGAAUUGAGUGAUUGUGUCAAUUUAGAGAAGCUUCCAAGCAAGAUGCACACCCUCUCCUCUCUUAGAGACUUGAGUAUCUUUAAUUGUCCAAAACUCGUGUCCUUCCCAGAAAUAUGUAUACCAACAUCUCUGACAUCAUUAAACAUCGAGUUCUGCAAGAUGUUGCAAUCUUUACCCAGAGGAUUAAGUGCUCAUCUAGAUGAACCUAGCAGCAGCAGUAGCAAUACCCACAGUGACAUUAUAUCUUGUCUACAAGACUUAAGAAUCUACGAAUGCAAUUCUUUGCCAUCCUCUCCAUUCAGCGAGGGUAUAUUUUUACCCACGACCCUCAAGAGACUUGACAUUAGUUACUGCAGGGGAGUGGAGUCGCUUGCGGAUAUAAAUCUAGACCGUCUUCAGUCUAUUCAAGAGAUUAAAAUUUUGGAAUUGAAGAAUUUGAGAAGCUUACCCCAGGGUCUACACAAGCUAUCUCGGCUCACUUCCUUGCAUUUGCGGAAUUGUCCUGCACUGGAGCUGGAGUGCUUCCCCCCUCUUCCUCCCAGCAUCUCGAGAUUUAUUCUUCACGGUUGUCCGAAGAUAAAAUCGUUACCUAAUCAGUUGCAUCGACUCACGAGUCUUCGAUUUCUAUCAAUUUCGGGGUGGGAGAGUUUGACGCACUUCCCCGAUGGAGGAUUGCCGCCCCAGCUAGAGUCUCUUGUGAUAUUAAAAUGCGAGAAUAUGAAGCAGCCGGUGAGGGAGUGGCUCACCCCUCUCACCUCCCUUCAACAGCUGGUGAUCGACGGCAGCGUGGGAGGAGUAGGAGAAGAGGAGGAUCUUGUGCUUCCGCUCCCUUCCUCUCUGCUCCGUCUCUAUAUCCAUGAUAUGGGAAAAGUGGAAAGACUGUCCAGCACUCUCCCUCCCUCUCUCCGGACCUUGGACAUCCAGAAUUGCCCGAAGCUGAGGGAGUUGCCCCAGGAUGGCCUCCCUCCCUCCCUAGAACUACUCCGGAUCAGAAGAUGUGGGAUUCUGGAGGAGCGAUGCAGGAAAGGGACCGGCUGCUAUUGGCCCCUCAUCCGCGAAAUCCCAGAUAUUCGAGGAGUCUGAGGCCUGGCUCUUUCAUCAUCUGUGUCCUUCCCCUGAUGUUGUGUGCACCUCCAUCGCCACUGCUGCUUCGACUCUCCACUCCGUCGUCGUCCUCAU
rnacentral:lncRNA from 1 species